rnacentral:lncRNA from 1 species
UAUUUUUAUCUCACGGCCUUUGUUCUUUCACAUUAGGUUCAUUAUCUUAUUCUCACAACCUAUGUUUUCUAACCUUAGGUUUAAUACCAUUCUUGUUUCACCUAUGUUUAGCAACACUAGGUUCAUAUUCAUUCUUGUUUAACCUAAGUUCACGACUCUAGGUUCAUUGCCACUCGAUCUAUAUGUGUUUUAGGUCCAUACACACAUGUCCUUUGACUAGCAUUAUUCCUUGCAAUCACUUAACAUUCUCAUGUUAUGUUCACAUACCAAUGUCCAUACGCACAAGCCUUUUACUUAACAUUCUUUUCUAUAAUGUGCUUAUCAUACCAAUACUUAGCCUUUUUCACAUGCCAUCAUCUUUACUCUUAGCAUUAACCACAUGCUUGCAUUUAUUAUUUCUACAUCAUGCUUAUUGUGUAUACUCUAGCAUUAAUCAAUGCAUUCAUCAUGCUCUGUUCACUUGCAUUCAUCUAGUACACGUGCAUACCUAGUCUUUUACAUGCAUAUACAUCUUAUCACUAGUGUCAUGCAUUACUUAGCAUUUUUACAUAUGCCGUCAUUUACACUUGUAUGCAUCAAUGAAGAUUGUUAACAUCAUUUAGACAUAAGGGCGACCUAGUCGCUUCGGUAAACACAACCCACAUUUAACGCGUUCCGAUUGCUUGUCGACACUUGCAAUCGGCCUCCCGCGGCACUCGGCACCCGCUUGGGCCCGACUAGCACUUGCGCCUCAACCGUGUUCCGCUUUGCAAAUCCGAAAAUUAUAGGUCUUCGGUUAUGCGCCACGAUGCCACACGUCCAUUCCCACGACCUUACGACGCCGUCUCGGCCCUACAGGCAAGAAUGAAGCCUCAAGGCUUAUUUCUUUAAUAACUUUAAAACGGCUCGACGAAUACUCAAACCGUCUUCGCCCACGCGUUUCUUGACCUAACAAUUAGGUUUACGAGUGGUCAAAAUAGAUCAAAACCCCUCAUUAGCAAAAUCCCUCUUUGGGAUGCCCUAAUGUGCCAUAUGCCCAAUACGCCGGUUUUGAUCUAUAAAACAAGCAAAGGAAAGCUUGUUUAUCAUCUAGGAGUUUAUCUAGGAGCAUACGAACCAUUUCUAGGGCAUUUAGAGCAAACCCUAAAAAUCCACCAUUAGAGCUUCAUGAGAAAACCAUAGAUUUCAUGGUGUUCUAAGCCUCUACAAGGUUCUAAAUACCUUAAGAGCUCUAAAUCUCUAAGCUUUAGGGUUUAAAACCCAUCCUACCAAAAUCCACCAUGAGAGGAGCAAGGUGCUUACCUCUCCAAAAGCUUCAAAAUGAGAAGAAGAUGAAGAUGAGGAUGGAGAUGAAGAUCUUCCUCUUCUUUUCCUUUGCUUUCUCUUUUUCUUCUUCUUUUCUUUCUCUCUUUUCCUUUCUUUCUUUCUUCUUCUCCCUUCGGUUGGGCACGAACAGAGGGAGAGGGAGGGGGCUGUGGGAGAGUGAGAGAGAGAGAUAAAAACACUCUCUAAUACCCUCUCACAUGUGUUGUAACAAUAUGCCACUUAGCCCCUCAAGUUUUCAAGUUCUUCCAACUUGACCUGCUGUUUUCGGGCUCUUUGUACCGGUACACGGGGUCUUGUACCGGUACAAGGCCUGGCAGACAGCUCAAACCCGAGAGCUCAUUCUCUCGGUUACGCAGGGCUUGUACCGGUACAAGGCCCCUUGUACCGGUACAAGGUCUGGCAGCUCCAGCCCUGUACCUCGCUGGUUGUACCGGUACAACCAUUGGUCUUGUACCGGUACAAGGCAUCCAGAAAGUCAUUUUUGACUCCGAUUGAGCUCUACUUUGCACCACACGAUGCCAAAACCCUUCCAACUCUUUUAGAGCUUAUUUUUAGCCCUUCCAACAGCGUUGGAAUGUUAAUUGGAACUCGUCUAUUCAUCUUAUUCGCAUGCUUUAGCCAAUUUGGCUAAAGUUCGAUAACUUCUUCCGAGACCUCCGAUUCUUUUCCAAUCGAACCGAGGCUCACCAAACAUGUUUUUGAACACGUCUCCAUUAUCUUUUCACCCAUUCUAAUGCCGAAUUUAGCUCACGGCCCAACAUAACCUUUCGGGUUUCGUUUUCGCACCUAUGCGCACCGAAACGCCCGAAAGCUUCCGAACUUCACCGAACUUCACCGGAACCAUUGGAAUAGCUUUCCAACCUAUCAUACACUAUGUCCUCAUAGUUUUUGAAGUCCGAUAUGUUACAUUCUCCCCUCCUUAAAAGAGUUUCGUCCGCGAAACUCAAACCGCACCUCAAUUCGACUUAUCGAGCGUUUGAGGGCACCAAUGCACUUUUCUAGAUCCGAAUGGCUUUACUCUCUUUGGGACUAUCCAAGAGGCCCAGUACGGAGGGUACAAUACCCAUCACGUGCGACUUUGCAAGGUGCAUUACAGUUUCCGUCAUUCCUGACGGUAGAGCAAGUCGGAACUUGUUGGUUCCAAGCGCCCCAACUCCAUUUUCCACUUGGCAUGCAGGAAACCUUCUUUGCACUCGUUUUCCCCUUUCAGGCACUUUGUUUCCUCAUGAGUGCUCCAACUCCAAUUGGAUUCUUGCUCUAUUACGAGAUGGCACACUCCGGCACAUCUCCAAUCUCGAUCCACAAAGAGCAUUAUCCUCAAUCUCGUGUGGCUAUCCAUUAUCCAAGUGUCUCCUAGAGACCACUUGACUUUCUCUUUUCAUCGCCAUCCUAGCCACGACCAACACGACUUUGUUGUCGCAAUCCAUUCGCACGAUCACUUCACUCGUGACUUUAUGCCAAGCUCCACGACAGAGCUACCGGCCAAGCCGCUUUCCUCAGCUUCCACAGGUGGUCCAUAGACUGCCAACUCUACGUAGGCCUACCGCCAACCUGUCUCCACUAUGCAUAGCGUCCUUAGCUCUCUAGCGCAGACCCAAUCAACAUUCUCGGGCGAAAUUCUCACUUAGAAAUUCGCACACACUCCAACCAGGAGCUAUCAAGACCUCAAGCCACGUCAAGUCCUUGGGUUGGAUCACAACACACGUAGCGUACCACUAACCUCGUACUCUAACACGUGACAUCCACGCACUUGGGUCCAAACUCGGACUACCGCCCUGACCACAACUCUCGCCCUACCCGUAGGUACCGAGCCGCUGUCGCUCACAGCUGACUGUACCUGCCCAAAGGGCCCAGGCUCCACAGUCCACAAGUGGUCCAGGCAUGGGUCAUCCCCAAGCACUACCCGCCGUCGUCGUCCUGCGCGACAUACUCUAUCGAGUCACGUAUCACCACUGGCUCCUGUGCACCUAGUGCGAGCCACCAGCCCUGCGAGUGAUCCAUGGCCCGCUUCACACUUAGCAAGGCUAACGUGCUACUGCCAUCACACUCACGGCUGAAUCGGUACCGCGCAUCAUAAGCACUUAUACUCGAGCGCUCUACACGCCUCUACAGCGUUCCAACUACGUCAAGCAUUAGACAACUUUGUCUAUGCAACUAACCACUCUAGCACAACUCGCCUACCUCGACUAGAGGUACCACUAGGCCCACGUGGCUGCACUGGCCAACUACCCAAUCGGUCUCUCAACAGUGAUUUACUUUCACUGUUCGAUUUAUCGGAACAAUAUCAGAACUCUCAGUUUUCUCGGGUAUCUAACUCUACCAGUCUCCACGGUCCCUACUAUGCAAUGUACCAAUAGUAGUAACUGACCAUAUAAAAUGCAUGCUAUGCAUCAACUUAAGAUUAUGCGAAAGCAUAUACUUGCUUAAUUAAUUCAUACCUGCCCUGACGUCGUCAGCCGUAGCAGGUUCCUCAACUUGGGUCGCAUAUCCAUGGCCACUUGCCGCUAGCCGCGAGCCUCCUGGUUGCUCGAUCAUCCCAACUCGCUCUCCAGAUCAUGCCAAAGGUCGCACCUCCACAAGUUGUCUCGGAGAGGAAAAGGCCGUCGCCAGUGUUAGAGUUUGGCUCACGCCUUGCGGGCAUUCAUCCCGCAGGUGACCUGAUUGUCCGCAGCGAAUGCACCUUCCAUCACGCAGUGCACAUCGCCGCGCCUGGUGGGAACCACCACAAAAUCACGCAGCCUGAUGAGGAUCGGGUGGAGGACGACUUCGAGUGGUGUCUGGAACUUGAUUGCCCACUCGAACCACUUGAUAACGGCCUCCCCCUUUCCCGCUCCUGCUUAUGAGAUUCGCGCUCCUCACGCGCGAAAGCCUCGCCAUGCUCUGCCCACAAUGCUCGGUCCAAUACUUCCGCGAAAGUGGUGAGCUUGAGGAUCUGCACCCUCCUGUAGAUACCUGGUCGAAGCCCACGCAAGAACCAAUCGGCCAUAUCCUUGUCAUCCCGUACUACAGCCGGGACACAAUUCACGAUGCGGGAAAACUCCCGUUCGUAUUCCCUUACCGAGCGGUCUCCUUGCCGCAGCUUCCUGAACCUGUCCUGAAGCUUUCUCUUUUCAGUGUCGGGGAAGUAAGUUGAGAACACCAAUCCCCGAAACUCAUCCCACGCUAUAGGAGGAAGACUAGGCGAUCGAUUCCGCCGAAUGCCUUUCCACCACGCCUUCGCCGACAACUUCAAGCAGUGCACGGCUAGGGGCACUUUGUCCCGCUCCAAGGUGUACAGCUCCUCGAAGAGCGUUUCCAUAGAGUCAAUCCACAUCCCCACAAUCCACGGAUCGACAUUCUCUCCGUCAAAAGUAGGCGGAUCAAACUGUUUGAAGGUCAUGAGAGUCGCCAAAGCCCGCCCUUUUUCUGCCUCCAUUUCCACAGAACCAGGGGCCACUGCCCCCGAUUCCAUCGCCAUUCCCGUCGGCACACGGCGCGCUGCUAUCGGCGCAGCCGCCGUAGUCUGUCGUCCCAACAACUCAUGGAGCUCCUUGAUCUGCUCCUCCUGUCGCAUAGCAGCCUCCUGCUGCCGUUGCACCACCUCGGCUUGUUGCCGCAUCACUCCCACGAGUAUAGCUAACUGUUCGCGAAGCUCUGAGUCUCCGCUCGCGUCGGUUUGCUCAGGGACACCACUUGUCCCCUCCCGCGCCGAUCUAGAUGAAGAUCGCCUACGCGGUGCCAUCGUUUCCUGAAACACGACAAUUCGAUUAGUUCUCGACCAACUUGAGUCGAACACGAGACUACUAAUACCGGCUCAAAAGCCAAUCAGGCGAAAGUCACACAAGGGUGUCUAUUCUCAUCGCUCGGUUUCAUGUUGUGUGCACCCAACAUGAUCACCCUCGGUUGAGAAUAAACAUUACCUUGAAUCUACCUCUAUUAUCUGUUUUAGAGGUUUCGACACCAUCCAAUCCAUUACCUUUCGCCGCGAAUCACAAGUCCUCGUCUCUCACGAGCCUUAUUCUCCUAUGGUUUACUGUCCUAGGGUCUCCUAGGUUUGCCUAAACCAUUCCCAUUUUCUACUUUACGCUCUGAUACCAUCUUAUCUGUCACGCCCCGCGACCAACCGCCAAUUUGGACCGGGUCGCGGCGCCGACGACAGACCGCCGAACGGACCGGGGAUUCCCCUGUAUCGCGGACAGAGUCUCCCCUGUACAUUCAAGGCGUCGCAAUCCAAACAAUCAACGAAUGUUCCAACUAGGAACGGAUAUCAUUCCAGGUUGCAUAAGGAAGUAUCAAAACAUAAUCUACUAAGCUAUUACAACAUACACUUAGUUACAUUUUACAUCAUAAUCUUUCUUUUACAUUGAACUUCCAAAUACAAUUACUAUUAUUACAAUUUUAGUAGAGCCACCUAACAACCUUCCUCCUAGAGCUAACUGGAACAAUGCCCUUCCUCGUCCCUGGCCUCACCCGCGUGCAAGGUCUCUAAAGAAUCAUAAAACAGAGGUCGUGAAAUAUAAUUUAUAGUUCCCAGUGGGCAAUUACUGGACCUCUAGCUAUCGAACAAACUAGCCCAAAGGAAAUGUAGUAUAAUAAAAACAAUAAGGAUAAACAUAACAAAGUAGAAAGCAUAAUUUGAAGUGCUAAACCCAUAUGUCCUCAAUGUAAGCAUGAUGCCAUGGUGAUGUACAUCUACGCUAUCAUGGAAGAUCAUAUCUCACAUGCAUACUAAUAUUCUCACAUAAAAACAAUUAAACGCCUCACGAUCAAUAUGUCAAUGCAUAAGGGUAAACACUAUCGCAACGACCGAGUAUAUACUAUCAAAUAAUGAUACCGGCAAGUAUAACUAAAUAGUAAACCAAUCUAUAUCAAUAGCGGUCGAAGCAUAUCCAACUACUAAUUCUCUAUCUAGUCUGAUUGCCUUAUACCAACCGUUGUCGAUUUCCAUAUUUUUUUCAUUUAAGGACCAUACCGAAGGUAUACAGUUGUGCCGCCUAAAUUUCUGUGUAGCACCGACAUCCCUACUUCUGUGGAAUUUCGUCCCAUCUCGAUCCCGUAGCUCUUCUCAAAAGACACGAGCGAAAUAGUCACGUAGGCUAACUCCGGAAUGCCCUUGUAGGACGGACCCUCACAGCAUUGGCGAAAUAAGCACAAAUGGUCAAGCAGCUUAUCAUCCUCAAUGUCGCAAUCCUCAGUGUCUCUAACAUGGUAAUCAAAAUAGCAUCCCGAAAAGCUAGUCUAACUCACAAAAUGAAGUUCCAACAUUCAUUAACGCCAGUGCCCUUGAUGACACAUAGAAAUCUAAAUGUUCAAAAUAUCCCCAAUCCCUCAAUGGACUCUAACCACUAUUCACAAUGUCCCGAGCUCAAUGCCGCUUGAUGACAUUAGCUCUCAUCAAUUCACAUACCUUCUAAAUGCAAUCUGUCCAUCAUUCAUGUCAAAGUAAACUCAAAGUUUAAAAAUGCAAAUCCGAACUCAUUUAUUAUAAUGAAACAUAUAACAAGUUCUCAUAAAGAAUCUAAAGAACCAAAUAUCUCAAACGCAACUCUCUACACAAGAGGUCCAAAUUUCAUCAUAUAUAACAUAAUGCCAUUUUAAAGCAUCUAAAACACAUACAUUAAAUACAUUUAAUGAACAAUGCAUGCUUUUAUCGAUUUACGCGCAUAAUAAAACCAUAUAUAGAAUUUCUCAAUAAUACGGCUAGGUAACCCACCGACCGUCGCGUAGGGUCUCGAUUCGGCCGAACAACAGUUGCCCCGAGUCUCAAAAUACCCUAAAAGAUUUGAGGGACAAGAUACACGGCAUACAUCAACUAUAAAUAAACUUUAAACAAAUUUAAAACAAAAGGCUAAAACUCACUAAAAUGUUGAAAAUCUCUCUCACUCAAAAGAGCUAAAUCCCAUUCUCAAUGCAAGCCCAAGGAAGGUAUCUAAUUCCAACCAAUUGUCCAAAAGCCUAGAUCAAAAAAUGCCAAUACGAGCCCUAAAACCCCAUCUAGGGUUCAUCUCAAAAAACCUCCAAAAUUCAAAUCUAGAGAAAUCUAUCCACUUACCUCCUUAGAAGCCCAAAACACAGCUCAAAGUCCCCCAACUUCCAGUAUUUUCCUCACAAACUCCAAACAAGUUCCAAGCUUCAACAUGUGAAAUAUGCUGCACAAUAGUCAAAAGAGAUGGAAAACCCACAAAAAUCCAAUCUAGACAUAGAAUAAAUCAAGUGGCAAGGUUGGGAAGCUUCCUUUUACCUGGUUCUCAUCUCUUACCCAGCUCAGGGAGGCUAGGGGCGUAGGCUAGUAUAAGAAACCAACAAUUCGCAAUAGACCCUGCAGAACAACUGUGAAAUCUGCAUCCUUGUACCGUACCGGGAUCUGUACUCGGUAAAGAGCUACGAAAAUCCAAAACAGAGGCUCGGGUACGCGGUUCUCUGCGGCACUGAUAACCGUACAGCCCGCUGGCUCUAUCCGGAUACAACCAUCAACAUUGAACUCGUACAGAACCAUGCCUGUACCGACAAACCUGCGAAAAUGCAAACCGAGACUCGGUUGCGAGUCUCGCUCUGUAACCAGUAUACAGCACAACCUUGUUACCGUAACAUAGCCCGCCAGGAACAGCCAAAUUUCGGAUCUGAGAGUCUACCAAAAUUCAAAUUUUUGAGUUUUGGUGGCAGGCUUCGUAAUCCACACUCCUAACGCACAGUCCAUAGGUCUGAACACAGUAAACGACCUACCAGAAAAUCAGGAAAAGCUCAGCGCACACUAAUCACUGAACCUCGCAAUUGCAAAGGUCAUGUUACAGUUAAGUCACAGAGUGCGGCCAGUGCGCGGACUAUCCGCGGAUGAUUGACUCGAGGCCGAGUCGGGUGGUUAGCUUGAUUAGGUUAAUAAAAACCUUAUAAGCUAGUGAUAAAGGUAAGAGCUAAGGUAAUAGAGACCUUAGAGGCAAAGUGAACUUGAGUUGUGAACUGAGGUAGUAGAACAUUAGAGGCUAAAUGACAUGAGCUAAAGUUAGCAGAGUUAAUGUAGAAUCAAUAGAUCUGCUAAAUGGUUGCUUAGUUGUGUAGAACUGCAUAAUAUUCAUAUUGCACGUUGCGAGGCAUGUUAUCUGUUAGUUGCAUAGUAACAUUAUGAUUUAUAUAUCUAUAGAUGUUUUGGACUAAUAUGGUUGCAGUGCCUCCUUGGACCUUUUGGUCGAGCUUUUCCCUUGGGUGGCCGUACCCACUGGGAACCAUGGAGUUGGUUCUCACCCCACGUUGUUUUGGGGUUUUACAGGUUCGCACGUGAGCGGCGCGGCGGCGCGAGGAAAGGGCGUAGCUCAGUAGAUAGCGCCCUACCCAGAGACCAGAGCUAGCAGUACCCCGUCGACGUGGCUAGGGGUAUAGAAAAUGAAAAGAACACGAAUGUAUCAAUUUGUAGAUAAGUUUGUAAUAACUAGAUUGUAUUUGGAGGAAAGCAAAUGAGAAUUGUGAUGUAAAACCAAUGAAUGUAAAUGUAUGUAAUCAUAUAGGAUGUGUUAUGUUGUUGAUACCUUCCUUAUGCAGUCUGUUUGUUGAGUACUGUUCCUGGUUGGUACCUUUGUAUUGUAUUGAUUGCGAUGCCUUGAACGUACAGGGGAGACUCUGUCCGCAGUACAGGGGAAACCCUGUCCGUUCGGCGCUGUCGGCGCCGCGACCUCGGCCAAAUUGGCGGGUGGUCGCGGGUCGUGACAGGAGAUGGUAUCAGAGCAUAAAGUAGAGAAUGGGAAUGGCUUAGACUGACCUAGGAGACCCUAGGAUAGUAAAACCAUAGAAGAAUAAGGCUGGUGAGAGACGAGGACUUAUGAUUCGUGGCGAAAGAUUAAUGGAUUGGGUUGUGUUGCAAACCUCUAAGACGGAUAUUAGAGGUAGACUCGAGGUGUGGUUUAUUCUCAGCCAAGGAUGUUCAUGUUGGGCGUACGACAACAUGAAACCGAGUGAUGUGAAUAAACACCCUUGCGUGACUUUCGCCUGAUUGGCUUUUGAGCCGGUGUUAGUGGUCUCGCGUUUGACCUUGAGGGUCGAGAACUAAUCAAGCUUUCUUGUUUCAGGAAACGAUGGCGCCGCGUAGGCGAUCUUCGUCCAGAUCGGCGCAGGCGGGGACAAGUGGUGUCCCUGAGCAAGUCGACGCGAGCGAAGACUCAGAGCUUCGUGAUUAGUUGGCCAUACUCGUAGGAGUGAUGAGGCAACAAGCGGAUAUGGUACAACGGCAGCAAGAGGCUGCCAGGCGCCAGGAGGAGCGAAUGGAACGACUCCAAGAAACGGUGGAUCGGCUGGUGGCUGCACCAGCUGCAGCUCGUCGAGGACGGCCAGGAGUCGCGACGAAGGUAGUUCCGUUGGGGUCGGGCGAUCCGACUCCUAUUAGUUUCGAGGUGGAGGCGGAGAGGGAGCGAGCUUUGGCGGCCCUCAUGGCUUUCAAGAAAUUUGAUCCGCCUACCCUUGAUGGUGAGGAUACAAAUCCGUGGAUCGCAGAGAUGUGGAUUGAUUCCAUGGAAACGCUCUUCGAGGAUUUGUACAUGUUCGAGCGAGACAAGGUAAACCUAGCCGUGCACUAUCUAAAACAAUCGGCGAAGGUGUGGUGGAAAGGCGUCAAGCCAGAUCGAUCGCCUAGUCUCCCUCCGAUGACUUGGGAAGAGUUUCGGGGAUUGGUGUUCUCAGCCUAUUUCCCCGACAGUGAAAAGCGGAAGCUUAAGGAAAGGUUCCAAAAGCUGCAGCAAGGAGAUCGCUCAGUCAGGCAAUACGAGCGAGAAUUUUCCCGUAUCGUGCAUUGUGUCCCGAACGUGGUACGGGAUGACAAGGACAAAGUCGACUGCUUUGUGCGUGGACUGCGGCCAGGCCUUUACAAGGCUGUGCUUGUACACAAGUUGCAAACUUUUGCCGAGAUCCUGGAUCGGGCCUUGUGGAUAGAACAAGGCGAGGCAUCUGCGGGAGGAGCGCGAGGCAUAUUACAAGGAAAAAGGGAAAGGACGGCCAGGGAGCGGACUCGAUGGUCAGUCAGGUUCCCAACGAACUUCGAUGAUUUCGCACUCUCGAUCCCGAGCUCCGGGGACUUACCACAUUCGGUGACCCUCUGCGAGAGGUGUUAUGUGUGGGGGCCUUUGUUACCCACAACAAUGUGAGCAGCGAGAAGGCAAGUGCUUCAGGUGUGGGCUGCCGGGUCAUACGCGGGACAAGUGUUCGCAAGGUGAUAGCCGGGCCUUGACAUUGGCGAUGGCCCAUUCCUCCCUGGGACAGCCUGCAAGUGUGCCACCUGUGGCAUGGUCAAGAGAGCGGCCGUUGAGGGCAAUGCAACCGGAGGAUUCGUGGCGAGCGCCAAGUGGCCAUGGAGAUGCGACCCGAGUUACGGUGCCUGCCAUUGCCGACGACGUCGUGGCAGGUAUGAGUUGAUUGAGCAAGCAUAUACUUUUGCAUGAUCUCAAGUUGAUGCAUAGCAUGCAUUUAUCGUAUGGUCAGUUACUACUAUUUAUACAUUGCAUAGUAGGGACCGAGGGGAUGGGUAGGUAGAUACCCGAGCAUGCUUGCAUUGUGAGAGCGUAGCGCCUGCUGGAGCAGGUAGAGGGCCAAAUGGUACUAGCGAAUUGCUAGUAGUGAUUUUGGACAAAAGAUGAGACUCGUGGUAAAGAUGAAGUGGUGAAAGGACUCUCGAGAUAGUGGAUUAGAGAUUGCGAGAGUUGAGCCACGAAGUUGAGAAUGUGUUCCGGUAGAUCGGACAGUGAAAGUAGAAUCACUGUUGAGAGAGCGGUUGGUUGAGGCCAAGUUUGGCCUGUGGGCCUAGUAGUACCUCGAAUUGAGGUGAACGAAUUGUGCUCGUGUAGUCAGUGGGCAUAGGCAAGUUGCCUAAUGCUUGACCUAGUUGGAACAUGAUAGAGACGUGUAGAGCGCUCGAGUGUAGACACUCGUAGAGUACGGUUUUGAUUCAGCCGAGUGAGUGUGAUGGCAGUAGCACUUUAGCAUGGCUAAGUGCGAAACGGGCCAUGGAUCGCUCGUAGGGCUGGUGGCUCGCACUAGGUGCUUAGGAGCCGGUAGUGGUACAUGCAGCUCGGUAGAGUGUGUCGUGUAGGACGACUACGACGGGUAUCGCUUGAGGAUGAUCCGUGCCUGGACCAUUUGUGGAUUGUGAAGCCUGGGCCCAUUGGGCAGGCGCAGUCAGCUGUGAGUGACAGCAGCCCGAUACCUACAGGUAGGGCAGAGAGUUGGUCAGGAUGGUAGUCCGAGCUUGGACCCGAGUACGCGGAAUGCCGCGUGUUGGAUCAUGAGAUCGAGGAUACACAGGGUGUGUAGUGACCCAACCCGAGGACUUGACGUGGUUGAGGUCUUGGUUGCUCCUGUUUGGAGUGUGUGCGAAUUCCCAAGUGAGAAUUUCGCCCGAAAAUGAGGAUUGGGUCUACGCUUGCGAGCGAGAGACGCUAUGCGUAGUUACGAUAGGUAUAGGCGGUAGGCCUACGUAAUGAUUACGACCGUUGGUCCGCCUAUGAAAACCGAUGAUCGGUGCGGCCAGCAACUCUGUUAGUGAGUUCGGCUUGGAUUCACGAACGGAGGGUUCAUGUGAUGUUGAACGUGGCUUAUAGUAGUAAAGGAUAAAGAGAAAAGUAAAGUGUUCUCUAGGAGACACUUGAAUAAGAAAUAGCCACGUGAGGGUUGGUGUAAGGAAGUGAAUUCUCGAAAUGCGAGAGUUGGACUUCGCUCAAAAUCGACAAAUUGUCGAGUGGUUGUGCUUCGGAAAUGCCGAAGAGGUCAAAUGCACCAAAAGUGCAUUGCAACGGAUCCGCGAGAGCAAGUGUGCAAAAAUCUGCACUUGGCAGAUUUGCUCUCGGGGACCGGUCCCUGGCAGGGAAGGACCGGUCCCCCGUAGCUGGUUGGUGCGGGGUUGCGUGAUGCAACCGGUCCCUGGGCCAGAGGGACCGGUCCCCCGUGUGCGAAACCGGCGAGAAGAGGAAAUUGGCUAAGUCCUGCGAGAGCAAGCUCUCGGGGAUCGGUCUCUAGUGGACAGACCGGUCUCCGGGGGACCGGUCCUCCAGGGACAGACCGGUUCCCGUAAGUGUGUUCAGGCUGAAGGCUCUCGGGGACCGGUCCCUGGCAGGGAGAGACCGGUCCCUCUGCGCAAAAAAUUGCCCAGGUAGGCUGGGUCAUGUUGACGGAGUUGGAGAGCUUAAGGAUAAUGCUCUUUUGUGGAUUGAGGUUCGAGAUGCGCCGGAGUGGGCCAUCUCUCAAUAGAGCAAAGAUCCUGAUGUGAUUGGAGCACUUGCGAUUGGUCGAUGCACAAUGAUACUGCUUCUAAGCAAUGUUGGUGAUCGAAUCGGAGGGUGUUCCCCGACGAGAAAGUAAAAUGCAAAGAAAAGUUCUUGUAUGUCAAGUGGUGAAUGAUGUUGUAGCGCGUAGAGCCGUUCAGUUUCGACUUGCGCUACCACAAGAAUAGCGGAGACCCGUAAUGCACUUUCGGGGUUAUGCUUGGCAAAUGCGAGUGAAUCUGAUCUCACAUCCCUCGUAGUGGGCCUUUGGACAGUUCCAAUGAGCAUAAGGCCACUCUGAAGUGAAAAAGUGCACUAUACCCUUUGUUACUCGAUAAAUAGAGUUGGGGUAUAAAUUGGAGUUGGAAUUAUUUGAGUUUCGAGGACGAAACUCUUAUUAAGGAGGGGAGAAUGUAACAUACCGAACUUCUAAAAUCAUGAAGUCACGGUGUACAUUUAAAUGGUUCCGGUGAGGUUGCGGUGGAAUGUAACAUACCGGAUUUUAAGUAGAAAAGUGAAAAUAAAUAAAAAUAGUAUGAGAUACUAUUUUAUUGGAUUUAGAGAAGUGAAAUAUCGGGUGGUGAGCGACCUGUGCUGAAAUCGGAGCGAAAACAGAAGAUUUAGAAUUUUCUGUUGGAAACGGGACUAAUAAAUUAGCAAAAAAUGCACAGUCUCAGAAAAUUAUGAAAAUUGGCGGGAAUGUCAGAAAUAUUUUUAUGAGGCUAGAUUUAAAGUUUCAUACCAUUCUGACACCCGUAGAGAGAGAAAUAGGAUCCGAAAGCUAUCUGAUAAAGAUUGCAGUUCGGUAUAGUUUUCGGUGACCAAACGGGGUCGAAAAACGCGUUGGCGAAGACGGUUCGGCAAUCCGACGGCCGUUACAAAGUUAUUAAAGAAAUGACGUUUAAGCUUCGGAUCCGCGGAGGGCCGGUAGGCCGACGUCUAAAAUUCGAUGAAAUGGUUUUGAGGCAUCUUGCAACGAUAAACCGAAGACCUUACAUUUUUCCGGGGCUUACGAAGCGGAGCACGGUUGAGCGCAGUGCAAGAUCGGGCCGUGCGAUACGGGUGCCGCGGCGAGGCCGAUUGCAAGGUGUCGACAAGCAAUCGGAACGCGAAUUAGAAGUGGGCGUUGUAUUACGACGAAGCGACGAGGUCCUUUAUGUCUAAGAAAGGAUAAGUAAUCCAUGUUGGAUAGCAUAUAGAAUUAAAUGAAAGCAAUGAAAUGAUGUCCAUGUUAAUGGUAAAUGCCAAGGUAGAAAUGCAUAAUGAUAAAAUGCAAAUUAGCUAAGGACAAUGCAUGAUAAUAUAAUGACUGAAUUAACAUGCUAAGUAGAUCUAAGAUAUAUAUAGUUAUAAAUAAUAUCAUAUGAUAUAACUUUGAAAUAAAAUGACUAUCAUGGUAUUGAUACCGAGGCAUCUCAAUAGAAAUGUUAGUGUUAUUACAACCCCCACACACCACAAAUCCGAAGCCAAAGGGCUCACCCCUAAUGAUAUAAUAAACAUAAGUCAAUUAUAAUUUAAAUAGAAUAUGAAACCUAGUGGUCCAUCCGAACAUAGUUAACAUAACAAUAGGAGUUUUUAUUAAUUAUAUACACUAGUAGAGACAUUGAACCUACGGCUUGUCGAGUAUGAGUCGGUACACCACUAGGAUGCCUAAUAGGUCGGCCAGCUGGUUGGCAUAUGGGAACACUCCGACCUGUGGAAAAAGUAACACGACACCACCAGACAAUCUUUGAUAACUCUGUAUCAGCUAGCGCGUAAUGCGACGAUUUCGACAGACACAGUAAUCCAAAGGAAAUAAGAGUGAGUGAACCGAAAUAAAACCAGUACCGGAAGGCUUGAACCAUUGACCCGUGGCGCUGUGCGACGAUUGAUCGCAAACAGAGAACACAAAUGGUUAAACCAGUUCGUGGAUUAUAAACCGCACGAAACAGCGUCAGCUUGAGGCCUUGUGAUGCAGGGCUGACAGAGUGCACCAUCUUCGUUUCAGACACAGAGCCCGAGAACAUGAGCCCAACAUCAAGGGAAUGACAGUGAUUAACGAGGAACGUGUGCGACAGCUAUCACCGCCACGCAAUUGAUAUACAUCACAGUGCCUAGCAGAUGCCAGAACUCACAUCCAGCGGAGGAGAUUUGAGACUCACCGGAAGUCAGAGUAGGAUUUACGCUUAAUAUAGGUUAAUAAGACAUUAAGCAUAAGUGAAGGUACGGUCAAGGCUAGGAUAUAGAGAAACUAUUAGGAAGCAUAGUUGGACAUUUGUCUGACUGGAGAGAUUGCCAUAUAAGACUACAUACACUGAUAACAAGAUAACAUAGACUAAAUGGUUGCUUAGGUUUUGAACUGCAUAUACAAUCAUCAUGAAUUGCACGUUGCGCAGGCAUGUUAGUCGUGUUAGGGUUGCAUAGUAAAAUUAUGAUUUAUCUACCUCUCAUACGACUGGUUUGGACUAAACAUGUAUCUGCACGUGCCUCCGUUGGCCACCUUUUGGUCCGAGCCCUUUUCCCCUUAGGUGGCCCGUACCCUGGGACCAUCGGAGUGUGGCUUUCUCACUCCCACCGUUGUUUUGGGUUUUACAGGUUCGCACGCUGAGCGGCAGCGGCCGGCGCGAGAAAAGGGCGGUAGCUCCAGUGAGAUACACGCGCCCUACGCAGAGACCCAAGAGCUAGCAGCUACCCGUCCGACGGUGCGCUACGGGGAUAGAAAAUGAAAAGAACACGAAUGUACUCAAUUUGUAGAUAAGGUUUUGUAAGUAACUAGAUUGUAUUCGGAGGAAAGCAAAAAUGCAGAAUUGUGAUGUUAAACCAAUGACAUGUAAUGUAGUGUUAAGUCAAUAUAGGAAUCUGUUAUGGUUGUUGAGGCACUUUCCUCUCUAUGCCAGUCUGUUUUGUUGAGUACCUGUUCCUGCGUUGGGACCUUCUGUAUUGUAUUGGAUUGCGAUGCCCUUGAACGCCUACAGGGGAGCACUCUGUCCGGUGCAGUACAGGGGAAACCUGUCAGUUCGCGGCCUGUCGCGCCGGCGAUCGGCAAAAAAUGGCGGGUGGUCGCGGGUCGUGACACUCUCUUUCCUCUCUCUACACGUGAAGCCCCCUCUCUUUUUACCCUCUGGCAACCCACCUCCUCUCUCUCCCUCUUUUCUCUCUCUGACAACCCCCUCUCUCUCUCUCUCUCUCUAGUUCCCAAACCAUUCUUCUUUUUUUCUUUUUUUCAUUUUCUCCCUCCAUCUCUCUUCCUCUUUUCCCUUCUCUAUGGUGGUGGUCCGCGCCGACGCCUUUCAGGCCGCAGCGCUACUCGAUCCCGAACGCGCCGACGCUUUCCAGGCCUUUCAGGCCGCACGAUCUCUCUUCCUCUUUUCCCUUCUCUACGGUGGUGGUCCGCGCCGACGCCUUCCGAGCUGCAGCGCUACUCAAUCUCGGAUGCGCCGACGCCUUCCGCAUGUUUAUCAUGUGUUUAUAAUGUGUAGUAGGAGAAAAACAUAUCUGUGUUUAUAAUGUGUACUUCAAAAUUGUGUAUGCUUAUAUUAAACUGCAUCUCCCAAUACUUGGCUGAUCAACUUGUCCGGAAUAAGAUGACCGAUCAGUUAGCUAGUCUACAACAGUUGGCCUGCAUGCCAAUCAGCCUUCAUGAUUUAGCAUUUUCCAAUUUCAGCUUAAUGUUAAUUACAAUUAUAUUACAAUCAAACUCAACCAAGGAAAUGGGCUGCAUCUUUUUUGGGGGCUGAUUUACUAUAUAGAUGAUAAUUUCAGUUAAAGAAGAUUUUAAGGUCGCACUUCUAAGGGAGUAACAAAUGAAGCAUCUCUUCAAGAAAUGUCUAUCAGAGGUGAAUUUGACCCCGCAAGUAGGUAUUGGAUCAAAUUUAUCCAAUUGGGGGAGGAAGAACCAGCUUAAGUCUAUCAGAUCUAACCCAACCAUCGAUAGCUUGCAAAAGGUUGUCCAGUUUAUUUCCAAUUUCACACUUUCACACAUUGAUUCAUUUAUGCUUCCACAAUGUCCAAACUGGCACUAACAUAAGAUGCCAUAGUAGUCUAACAAUUACCUAAAUAACUGGGGUUGAAAACUACCUGACUAUAUCAUCUAUUUUUAUCGAACAAAAACACUGAACAAGGAAGCAUGAAACAGCAAAAAGAGAUGAUAUAACGAAACAAAGGAGCUAGCAAAGAAUACAGGAGGAAAAGAAAGAUUUUGCAUGAAGAACACAAAAAGUGAAAGUGCUCCCACAUGAGUAGUUUCUGUUUCUUAGUCCACAGACGAGGACUAUCUACAAGCAAAAGUCGAGGAGAUGAGCUUCAAUGAUUCAGAACAAAAAAUGGACCUCGAAAUAACAAAAUGAAAGCAAAGAAAAUGGUGAUCUAGAAUUGUUAUACAUAUCCAAAACAAUAAGCACAAGAAUGUUCAGCCAUAUUAGUAACUGUACAGACUUCAUUAACUCUGCAAAUACGAGGAGAUUACAUUCUUCUAGGUACUUGGUUUGCUGCAUUUACAUUCAACCUGGUAGUGACUUCACCACCCAUAGCAUUCAAGUAUAUUUGGGCAUUUCUGCAUAAAGGAGGUGGAACUACUCCAGAAAGCUGUGAAAUAAAUAAAUCAAUGAGCACAUUACAUAAAAGCAGCAGAUAAAAUUAACAAAUAAAAGAAUUGCCUCUUAAAGAUAAAUUGUGACAAGAUCCUCAAGAUCCUAGAUGGAUCCUUAAAUAAAGUAUAAUGAUUAAACACCAACAAUGCACAUAUCUUAGAUGGAUGGAUCCCCAAGAUCCUAUUUUGAUGAGAUUUUUUGAGAAUACCCCAGAUCAAUUAUGAGCUUUGUCAGAAACCAAACACUCUACUUCAAAGCAUACUAAUCCAAAUGCAAAUACCAAUUUCUCAUAAGCUUAAAAGGGAGAAAUUUUACAAAAUCAAGUGCUCAGGUCAAAUUAAUAAAGAAUCAAAUUUUGGUUUGACAAUGACAUAUGCAUAAACACAAAAUCAGAAGUUCCCAUAAUAACCGAGACACUUACCUUCGAGAUCUUCACGAGAACGGCACCGUCAGGGAUCGAAGGUGCGGGAACCGCCGCAGUUGGAGAACUAAAUCCUAAGAUCGUUGCCCGAGAUCGAUCCGAGUAGCUCACGGGGCCGAGGGAGCGCGGCGCGUCUGGGAGCGAUCCUGUAGCACGCGGGCCAGAAGGCGUCGAUGCGAAGGGGCGCGUCCGAGAGCGAUCCUGUAGCGCCGCGGGCCGGAAGGCGUCGGCGCGGAGGGGGCGUCCAGGAUGAAAGGGAAAGAGGAAGAGAGAUGAAGGGAGAAAAAGUAAAAGAAAAAAGAAAAAGAUCUGGAUCUGGUGGGGGAACCAGAGAGAGAGAGAGAGAGAAAAAAGAGAGAGAGAGAGGGUGGCUUGCCAGAGGGUAAAAAAAGAGGGGGCUUCACGUGUAGAGAGAGGAGAGAGAGGAAUGGCGUUAUUUGGCUGUCCGUCUAGUUCACCCCUUAAGUGCGCACGGAUCUCGAGGCGAAGCCGAUCCAACGGUGAAAAAAAUGCCAAGCAUAAGAGCUCAUGUGCUUUUAAAAGCACAGGAGCUCUACUAUAUAUGAAUUAAACUCCUAUGCUUUUAAAAGUACCAAAUUAUUGGUGUUUGUAGAUUUUUAGCCAUUAUAUUAAGAGAUAUGCGGUUAGGAUGAUGUGGGUCCCCUAGGGUUGAGUGGAUUGUUGGUUGAAUAGUAUAAUCUAAUGGUUGAAAAUGAUCCGAGAAGUAGAUCUAACGGUAAAAAACUUACAAGCACCAAAUGCUUGGUACUUUUACAAACACCAUAGCUGGUAUAUAUAUAUAUAAAAGCUAUCUUGGUACAUAACAGAAGUACCUCAUAACAGAAGUACCUCUUGCGCAGAUUUUGAUGCUUGAGUUUCCUUUUUAUCUCUUCAUCUGUUCUUUUUGUUAGUCCUAUCAUGAAUCUUUCCUAGUAUUACACUACAAAAUUUUCGUUAAAUUUUAUUUUUUUUAUUAUAGAAGUAAAGUUUGUAAAUUUGAUACUAAAAUUAUAUAUAUAUAUAUAUAUAUAUAUAUAUAAUAAAAUUAUAAAAAAAUAAUUUUUUAUUAUCUUAUACUCGCUCAACAAGCAGUUAAACGAGUGACUCUCGACCCGAUAAUAUUUAUGGUUCACGAUUCGACCGAUUUAAAAGAAAAAAAAUGAGAGUGUGAAGUGCUUCUUUCUUAUUGUUAUAUGUGAUUUGCACUCAUUAGCGUGCUGUUUUGGUUGUGCUUCAUUCUCAAGCUACUUAUUUGUAACGUAAUCAACCUAUCUUGAAUUGAUUGUUGGAGAGGAGUUCGGGCAAUACAAAAUAUUUUAUUGAACUGAUUAUUGGGUACUGAUUUAAUUUUAAUAAAGUUGAUAUAUCUAAUCAUUUAAUGAUAGAGNAUCGGCCUAAUCGCUUGAUCCUCUGUGGGCGCAUAUUUCGAGGGUCAUAAUCCGCAGCCGUCUCGCAUCCCGACGAUCUUCUCGAGGAGAAUUAUUGACCGGGUCAAGGGUCGAGACGUUCGGCACCCAACAAUUUUUUGGCAUGCCUAGUGGGACUUGCUUUUGAGGUAAAUUUGCAUUUUUAUAUAUAUAGUAUGGCUGAUGACAACGCCAUGAAUCUCCGUAAUAGGGCCAUUCACAGAAAUUCUGGGAGUGAACAGCCCAGUAACUCAGAGAACGCUGUGGAGCGCCAAGCAGUUUUACCGGUUGAAGUUGAGACCAGUGGUCAAUCUGGCCAACAGGAGCCUAGUUUGACCCAAGCACUUGGCCAAAUGACUCGGGUCCUACAGACUUUGGACCAAAAUAGUCACGCAAGUACCGCACGGCUGGAUGCCGUUCUGGCCGCAAUCACAGCCUCUAACGAGAACAUAGCCCGAAUAGGGCAGUUGUUAACUCGGAACGAACAGCCGAUAGCAGGCCUUCAAGCGCCUGUGAUAACGCCGGUGUUACAAAAUCCAGGAACAUCGGUAGUUGGUCAGCCCCAAUACCAGGGGGCACAAUAUCAAGCGGCUUACAGACCGGUCGUUGGAAACACCGGUCAACAGCCGGAAGUGGCUUGGGGAUUACCUCCACCCCCUCCAGUUGCAGCCUACCAGGCCCAAAACGUAGGGGCUAGGGGGCAGGCUCCGAAUGCACAAGGGUUUAAUCCCCUAGUACAGAAUCUCGGGGUUCAACAACCACCGAAUCCAGUGCCAACGCAAGUCCCCAUACAGGGGAUUAAUAAUGAGAUAUAUGCGCAAAUAGAAGAAGCGAUCCGGAAUACUUUCGGAGUAGACACAAGGCCGGCAAUGCGGCCUGUAUUCAGAUCACCAUAUCCUGCUAAUAUAGAUGUAGAACACCCAUAUCCGGCAAAUUGGAAGAUGCCGAAAUUUGACAAAUUUUCGGGAGAUGAGACCGAAAAUACGGUCGAACACGUCGCUCGAUUUACAGCCCAAUGCCGCGAAGCAGCGGCAGAUCCUUUUUUAAAGUUAAGGUUAUUCAAUACUUCAUUAACCAAGACAGCCUUCACUUGGUAUACAAGUCUACCUGCUAAUUCCGUUCAAGACUGGGAUGAAUUAGAGGGUAAAUUUUAUGAGCAGUUUUAUAGAACCGAACCUGAGUGUCGGUUGCAGACUUGGCUCAAUUUAGACAAAGAACAGGAGAAUCGGUUGAUGAAUAUUUAAACCGAUUCAAGACGGCUCGAAGCCGAUAUUUUGUAAGGAUGCCGGAAUCAGAGUUUGCCAAAAUGGCAUUCAACGGCAUGCAUUUUAAAAUCAAAGAUCAUUUUGAGGAUAAGUUCUUCCCAAACCUGUUUGAUUUGGGGAUUCGAGUUGCUCAAUACGAGCAAUUUCGAAAAGGGAAUAAUGAGGAUCGGCCUAGGUGGAGCUGAAACAAAGAUUGGAAUAAAGGGAAAGAAAAAAAAUAUCUCUUUCUUUGAAGAAUCCUCGGCUCAUGAAGAGCCGAAUUCAUAUGAAGAGGCAGAAAAUUCGGCUGAUGAAGCCGAGAUCUGUGCUGCCGAGAAGGUAAGAAAUAGUCAACCAUACAAAUGUGCUUUGCUAAAACCUGCAAAGUCAAGAGAAGAAAAGCACAAAUAUCAGCAUUUAGUUAUUCAUUUGACAUCGCAAAGACCGAUCUUAUUUUCGAUCGGUUGUUAAAAGAUGGAGGCAUUAAAUUACAGGAAGGCCAAACUAUACCUCCUGUAGAAGAAUUGAAACGCAGAAGAUACUGCAAAUGGCACCAUUCAUGGAGCCAUAAAACUAGUGAAUGCACUGCCUUUAAGAGGCAAAUUCAAAAAGAGAUAAAUGAGGGUCGGCUGAUCUUUGCUGACCAAGACAACAAAGAUAUGGAAAUUGAUAAGAAUCCUUUUCCAUCACAGGCCAACGUCAUAAACAUGAAAAGGAAAGGAAAAGCGACUACGAAAAGGCAAAUACAAGAAGAAAUCGAGGAGGGUCGGCUCAUAUUGGCCGACCAAGAAAACGAAAAUAAAAUAAUUAACAAAAAUUCAUUUUCGUUUCAGGUCAAUAUGGUGAAUAUUAAAGGGAAAGAAGUUUUGGACAAGGAGACCGCUGACAACUUGGCCCAUGCCAAGAAACAUCUUCAGCUAUGCAUCAGGUGCAAGGCCGAAAUGACGAAGAAAGACUGGGAAGCCAUCGUGAAUGCCAAGAAAAGGGGGAACGAAUGGAAUGAGCUGAUGGUGUUCCCUGAGGAUUGGGAUGACAUUCCUGAUGGCGAAGAUCAAGAGGAGGAAGGCUCGGAUGCAGCCUCUAAUGAUACGGAACCGGAAGUAGAUUCGGUUCAAUGCAAGAAAGAUAUUCUCAUGCAGAAGAUUCUGCAUGAUUACUACAACAACAGGCAUGGAGAACGUCAUGGCCGAUGGGACUACCAGGAUAGACCAUUCGGCUCCAAGCAAAGGUUCCCUGGAUAUCGGCCACACUGGCAACAGCAAGCCAGGCCGAGACCAGAACCAGAAUUUGAAGGAAUGACCGAGGGGGACAUAGAAUUCCUCGGUCAGAGACUAGUCAACAAACUCGGCAUUCAGCCUUGGCCGAGACCAUGGGAAAGAAGAGAAAUUCUAAAAAAUCAUUUAAGAACAGUAAAAGUACCAGCAAACGUGCCAGUGGAUGAGUGGCACGAAGUCGAAGUUAAACCAUCGGCCAGAUGGUAGGGGCCGAUGUUAACAAAAAUCCAAAAGCGUCGACAGCAGAGGAUGCAAGCCGAGGCACGUCAACAUUAUGAAGAGGUGAAAGGGAUGAGGCUCAACGUAUGAAGACGCCCGGAUGAGCAGCCACACCUUUUUUGUCCGAUGAGGAAUGACCAUGAGGCAGGCGGCUCAUCGCCUGCCCUACAGUUGAAGUCAAGAAUAGAACGGCCAACUGAGGCCGAGUUAGAAGAGAAAAUGACCAGGAGGGAGUUGGAGGAUAAAAUAGCUUCCCUCGCGACGAUGAUCAAGAGAGAAAGGUGGCCUCCUAAAGAGAGGGAGGUCCGCAUGGAGAGCAACUCCUCAGCCGAAACGGCUAAGGAGUCAGAAGAGAAGAAACAGAGAAUCAAAGGAAAAUCGGCUGACGAAUCACCGGCCGAGGUGAAUAUGGUGUACGCUCUGCCUCAAUCCUUCAAAGCAGAGCUUGUGGAGUACGAGGAAUUCAGAGAAGAAGAAGAGAAUGGGCUUACAGUAGCCCAGUUGCAGCUAGAGGAUGUUCGACAGGCCGAUGCAGUGGUUUUUGAGAAACCAUCGGCCAUGCAGGUGAGGUUCAUAAGGCCUCUGUUUAUAAAAGCUUUAAUAGAAGGUCGGCUGGUAGGCCGAGUUAUGAUAGACGGCGGUGCUAUGGUCAAUGUGAUGCCCACUUCUUUUUUCAAGAAGUUGGGCAAAGACGAAGAUGAAUUAAAGCCCAUCGAUUCAAUCAUGACCGAUUUUACAGGAAACGGUCAACAAGCUCGAGGGGUGCUCACCACCGAACUCACGGUGGGUUCAAAAACUUUAAAAACGGCGUUCUUCGUAGUGGAUGCAGACAGCCACUACAACUUGCUAUUGGGAAGAGAUUGGAUACACUCAAAUGAGUGUGUACCCUCUACACUCCACGAAAAAUUGUUCCAAUGGAUAGGAGACAAGGUAGAAGAAGUCCGGGCCGAAGGAUGGCCUCAAAUGCUAGAUGUCAACACGGAAGACAUCGGCCACAUCAAUUGGGCCGAUGCUGAUCCAGAUCAGAUUUCAUUCGUAAAAGUAACGGAAGAGGGGAUUCAAUUAAUUCUCUCAAAAGAUAUCAACACUAUGUGGCUAAUGAAGAGCCACCUAGAUGGUUAAAAUGGAGUCCCAAAAAUCGGGAAUAGAGGCUUGGCACAAGCCUCAACAAGAUGAGCCGAUCAACAAGAUCGGCUAUGAGGAUGAUUCGGCUUCCAAAGCCGAUGUGUUAGUACCUGAUAAUUCGGCCAAUAAGGCCGAGGAAGUCAUAAAAGACUCGGUUCAUAAAGCUAAGAAUGAAGGUCAAGUGAAAUCGGCCAUGAAGACCGACAAAUCAUAUGAGAUGAAUAGGCAAACAGCGAGAAUGGAGCUAGAAGAAUCGCCUAUUAAAGCCGACGAGAAAAAGCUAGAGACCCAGGACUUGUUGAUAGAGUAAAUCUAGGGUCUUGUAAAGACAACAAGCCAACGUUUAUAAGUUCCAAGCUGUCGGCUCAACAACAGGAAGAAUUGAAGAAGCUGUUAAAGGAGUACAAGGAUUGCUUCGCCUGGAGCUAUGAAGAAAUGCCAGGUUUAAGCCGAGAGAUUGUAGAGCAUCGGCUGCCUAUAAAAAAAGGGUUUAAACCUUUUAAACAACCGGCUCGUAGGUUUGAGCCGAGUAUUGUACUACAAAUUAAAAAUGAAAUUGAAAAUCUUUUAAAGGUCGGAUUUAUUAGAGCGGCCCGUUAUGUUGAUUAGGUGUCUAAUAUAGUUCCAGUACGUAAAAAGAAUGGCAAACUUAGAGUUUGUAUCGAUUUUAGAAACUUGAAUUUAGCUAUACCUAAAGACGAAUAUCCAAUGCCAAUAGCCGAUAUGGUAGUAGAUUCGGCUGCUGGUAAUGAAAUUUUGUCCUUUAUGGAUGGACAUGCUGGUUAUAAUCAAAUUUAUAUUGCUAAAGAAGAUGUGGCUAAAACGGCUUUUAGAUGCCCCGGUUCAAUUGGAACCUUUGAAUGGGUUGUUAUGUCGUUCGGCUUAAAGAAUGCCGUAGCUACUUACCAAAGAGCCAUGAAUUUUAUUUUUCAUGAUUUAAUCGGCAAAAUGUUGGAAGUAUAUAUCGAUGAUAUAGUUAUCAAAUCCAAGUCACAAGCCGAACAUUGGAUCGAUUUAAAGCUCGCUUUUGAGAGAAUGAGAAAAUAUAAUUUAAAAUUGAACCCUUUGAAAUGCGCCUUUGGAGUUUCUGCAGGAAAUUUCUUGGGAUUUUUGGUGCAUAAGAAAGGGAUUGAAAUUGAUAAAAAUAAAGCGAGAGCAAUAUUAGAGUUACCGCCACCCAAGUGCAAAAAGAAACUACAGAGUUUGUUGGGGAAGAUUAAUUAUCUUCGGCGGUUUAUAUCUAAUUUAGCCGGAAGAAUCGGGGUUUUUACUCCGUUACUUCGGCUGAAAGAUAAAGAAGAAUUCGUUUGGGCAGAGGAACAGCAAGANUUACUUCGGCUGAAAGAUAAAGAAGAAUUCGUUUGGGCAGAGGAACAGCAAGAGGCAUUAGAAAAUAUAAAAAGAUAUUUAUCAAAUCCUCCAGUACUGGUACCUCCAAAGCCGAAUCAGCCGAUGAAGUUAUAUAUAUCGGCUACAGAUGAAAAUUUGGGAUGUUUGCUGGCUCAAGAAAAUGAAAAGAAGGAAGAACAGGCCAUUUAUUGCCUAAGCCGACGUCUGUUAGAUACCGAAAAACGGUACUCAGCUAUAGAAAAAUUAUGUUUGGCUUUAUAUUAUUCAUGCACAAAAUUGAGAUAUUACAUUUUAUCAGCUGAAGUAUCGGUAAUAUGCAAGACCGAUUUGAUAAAAUAUAUGUUAUCCAAACCAGUGCUACGAGGACGUAUUGGGAAAUGGAUAUUAGCUUUAUCUGAGUUUUCCCUUAAUUAUGUUCCUGCCAAAGCUAUCAAAGGCCAAGCUAUAGCUGAUUUUUUGGCCGAUCACCCAUGUGCAGAAAUCGAGGAGCCGAAACAGAAUGUAAUCGGCUCUCAACCUUGGGUGUUGUACUUUGAUGGUUCAAAACAACUGAAUCUGCAGGAGCAGGAGUAGUGAUACAGUCUCCUGAAGGUCAUGUUUGUCAAUUUGCAUUUGAAUUAGAUUUCGGUUGCUCUAACAACCAAGCCGAAUAUGAAGUCUUGAUAAUCGGCCUUGAAAUAUUGCAAGAAUUAAAAACAAAGUCAGUCAAAGUCAUCGGUGAUUCACAGUUAAUAUUCAAACAGGUUAACGGGGAAUACCGAUGUGAGAAUCCGAAUUUACAAAAUUACUUGAGGAAGACAUUAGAAUUAUUAUGCAAUUUCGGAGAAGUCGAUUUCAAACAUUUGGGCAGACAGGAAAACGAAAAGGCAAACGAAUUGGCCCAAUCGGCUUCAGGAUACAAAGAGCCGAAGUCAGAGUCAAUAGUAAUACAGAGGAGAUUGCUACCUUCGGUUCAUAUACGAGAACCGAUCAUAGCUCCUGUAGAAGUAAAAGAUGAUUGGAGGAAGUCGUUGAUCAAAUAUUUGGAGGAUCCUAAUAUCAGGGUCGAUUAUAAUAUUCGAAGAAGAGCUCUCGGCUACUGUUUGCUAGAUGGUCAACUAUACAAAAGAACAGCCGAAGAAGUUCUAUUGAAAUGUUUAGGGCCGGAAGAAGCUCUACUAGUAAUGGGAGAAACACAUGAGGGAAUAUGUGGAACCCAUCUGGCAGGAAAAAAGUUAAGAUGGACAAUUCGGCACCUAGGAUAUUAUUGGCCGACUAGGCAUCAAGACUGCAUAGAGUAUGCUAAAGGUUGCCAAGAAUGUCAAUUUCAUGGUUCAAUACAGAGGGUUCCUGCCUCUGAGAUGUACGCCAUAAUUAAACCAUGGCCUUUCCGAGGAUGGGCCAUGGAUUUAAUCGGAGAAAUUCAGCCGAAUUCCUCGGCUGGUCACAAGUUUCUGAUAGUAGCCAUCAAUUAUUUUACUAAAUGAGUGGAAGCCAGACUUACUCGAUUGGUCACUCAAAAGAAAAUUAUUGAUUUUGUUGAAGAUCAGAUAAUUCAUCGGUUUGGAAUUCCUGAGACCGUCACAACCGACCAAGGGACAAUGUUCACGGGGGGACAGUUUGUUCGGUUCAUCGAGUCUCGAAAGAAAAAGCUGCUGCAUUCAUCUCCUUAUUAUGCUCAAGCGAAUGGGCAGGUAGAAGCAGCAAAUAAGAUAAUUAUCAACCUUAUGAAGCGACAUAUUGGAAAGUACCCGAGAAAGUGGAAUGAAAAACUUUACGAAGUAUUAUGGGCAUGCCGAACCUCAAUAAAAACGGCAACAGGGAUGACACCAUUCCAAUUAGUUUAUGGCCAUGAGGCCGUAAUUCCAGCUGAGAUAACAGUUCCUUCUUUAAGAAUAGAGAAACAAAAAGACCUCUCGGCUAAUGAAUAUAUUGAUCUAAUGAAAGAUCAAGCAGAGGAGAUAAUAGAUACUCGGUUGAUAGCUUUAGACAAUAUACAAGCAUACCAAAGCCGAGUACGUAAUGCAUAUAAUAAGAAAGUUCGACUGAAGGCGUUUGUUGUCGGUGAUUUAGUACUUCGGCUGAUUUUUUCAAUCGGUCAAAAAGACCGAACGUAUGGGAAGUGGUCCCCAAAUUGGGAAGGACCAUUCCAGAUUAGCCGAAUCACAAGAGGAAAUGUAUAUUUUUUGCAAAACAGAGAUAAGUCAGAAAGUGAAAAACCAAUCAACGAAAAAUAUUUAAAGAAAUAUUACCCAUCCAUGUGGGAGCACAAUUAAAAUCAGAGUUAGAAUAUUACAAGCCGAAUCAGGACAAUAAGUCUUUGAGUUGAUUCCAUUCGGUUAUGAGAUUGGCUUGGGCGGUCUCAGCAGCUUUCCUUCGGCGCUUCAUCCAAAUGAUGGACUUUGUAAAGUUGAGAAAGCUCCUCUUUAAGCCUUAUCCCUUCUUCCUUUUUGGACUUCAGUAAAUCUUUUAGUUGAAGUCGGCGCUCAGAGGUUUGUGCAAGAGUAGAUUCGGCGGCGGCUAAUUCUUCUUUAAGAGAAGAAAUCUGUUGUUGUAAAGCCGAUUCUUGAUCAGCCAAUUCCUUAUCCUCUUGAUGCACUUAGGCGGAGCUGCUAUAUCAGGGAUAUUCUUUUUAAAAUGAUCAACACGAUGAAAAUGUUGAUCUAAAGCUACAAGUUCGGCGCCCAAAGAUCGCUGCCGAGCCAGAAAAGAUGAAAGUUGAAGUGAUAAGGUUGCUACAAAACAUUUUAUGCCGGGAGUAAUAUCUGAUUGAUCGGCCAAAUCAAGUAAAAGGGCAUAUAGCCGAUCAAAUCAUUCUGGAUUCUGAGCUAAACCAGGAAUACCAAUGCUAUAGAUUUUAAGGAAUUCAUCGAACUUAUUCUGCGUGUCCGAUGAAAUGGUAAUGGUCGAAGAAUCAUCCCCUUCAUUGGAGCUGGGACUUGAAAUCAAAAAAGAAUGAAGAAUCGCAGAUAAAGAAUCAUCAGCAAUAGGGGAAGCAACUCCCUGGGGCGAGCGGGGAGGAAUAGUGCUGGUGUCUUCGGAAAUUCGCCCCAGAGGUAUGUUUAUCUGUUUAUCCCCUGUAGUUGAUGUCGGGGCAGGAGCAGAAAGAGGUGAUGCAACCUCACUGGGUAACGGUGUCGUGCUCGCCGUUUCAACAGAUUUCUUCUUCUUUUCCAUCCCUUUCUUUUUCUCGAGACGGGCUUGUCACGCCCCGGGACCCAGCGGAAGCCCGCCCGGCACGUGCUCAGACCCGCCAUACGUCUAAAACAUAUAAGGCGUCUAAAUACAACAAUAAUAAAGGCAAUAAUAAAAGACAUCUAGGAGUAUCAGAGCAUAAUAAAUGUCUAAAUGCUACAACAAGGGAUAAGGAUAAAACUGUAAAUUCACUAAAUAAGACAUAAAGUGAUACAAGGAAAACCCAGAUACAAGUGCUAUAGGUAGAUACAUAGGUGGUCUCUAUACAUGGAUACAAAAACCUCUCACUCUCUCAACUACAAAAAGAAAGAGUAAACCACCUAAGCAAAAUACCGCUCCUCACUAGCUAGCUAAGUAAUCUCCUUGCCGCGAUCCCGUGCCUCCGCCGGUGCCGAAGGCUCUGAAAAGUAAACCAUAAAACAGGGGCAUGAGAACUAUAAAAUAAUAGUCCCCAGUGGGCAAUUACUGACUUCAGUGAAUGCACCACAAGGCCCAAAGCUACUAAGGAUGUCAGUGACUAUAAAAGUAGAAAAGCGAAAGGGAAGUAAAAAUGUAACUUACUACAAUAUGAUAUCUCUACUUAGCAUAAAUAGUAUAAGUAGGAAAGCAACUAUGCAUGAAGUAAAAGUCUCCAACUAUCAUAAUGUUCACAAUGCGAAAUUGUUAAGUUCCGUUGUUUACUAUUCUAGUCAAUGUCCAAGUAAUACUCUAAGUCAUCAUCUGUCCACAUGUCAUAGUGAAUACUCAAGUCAAAUCUGAAGAGACCCGCCCGAAGGCUGUCUAGUGCCCUCUGAGACCCCACCCGUAGGCUCCUAGCCGUCCUAGAGCCUGAUGGCCCCGUGGUAGUCAUCCACCCACCCCUAAGAGAUGAGCCUGGCCCACGCAAUCCACUUCGCGCCCCCCCAAUUCCGCACGCGAAUGUAUGAAUCGCGGAUGGCUAUCUCCGGAGGCCGCUGUAGGAGCGGACCACUCACAACGCACGGCGAAUGAGCAUAAUGGCAAGUAGUCAGAACGAUCUGUCAACAAAAGUCCCAAGUCCCAUUCAUGUAAUAACCAUGGAAUGUCAAAUAUCUCAACGGCCUUAUCCUAAUGUUAUCAUUUCUAACAUGGAAUGUAGCGGAUAAUUCAGUGGCCUAUCAAUAUGUCUCUAAUGUUGCAUUUCAUAAGUUUACUAGUUUCAAAGUGUGCCCCUUUAUGCACGAGCCUUAUUCUCUAAUGUCAAGAUUAUGGCAACUAAAGUGCCAAAAUGUACAUAUUCGAAGUCAAUAAUGCCUCAUAGAUGAUGUAUUUUCCACUUUGCAAGUGAUAAACCUUUUUCCGAGUGCCAUGUCAUUCUACUCAUAUACUGCUCUAGCUAGUAAUUAGUAGAAAUUUUCAUAAUACAGCAAGCAUCAUUUUAAGUGCUCUAAAAUUCAUAAUAAAUUUCAUUUUAGUAUAGAAACUGGAAUUAAAAAUAUUUAUUAUCAUACAAGUAGGAAAGGACAUCGGGGCAUUUCGCCCCAUUUUCACUGAAGCCAAACGCCAACGAUGACAACUAAAACAUCGUCGGUUCCAACGAGGUGUCCUCUAGUCUCCUAAUACCCUAAGGAGUGAAACUGAAGAGUUACGUACCAUCGGGGUGAAACAUCCAAGGUUAAACCAUAACUCAACGUACAAGAAAAGGGGCAAAACUCACCUUGUAGGUGAAAUCUUCUCUCAAUCUCCCAAUGAGAGUGAAAACCGCUUCAAGAAAUCCAACCUCACAUGGAAGCCUCUAAUCCACCCAAACUAGCUCCAAAGAGCCCUAGAUUCAAAAUGCCCAAUUUAAGCCCUAAAACCUCAUUCUAUGGUUUCAUCACAAAGAAGCCAAUAAAAGUCUAAUUUAGAGGAAGAGGAUGAGCUACUAACCUUUAAGAAGCCUCAAACAAGGUUCAAAAUCCUCCAAGAGUGGAGAUCUCCCUCUCCCCAAGCUCCAAGAUCAAGCUCCAAUGGUGGAAAAGCUUCCAAUACGCAAAAGAAGCAAAAAGGAAGGUUUAAUCCACCAAAAUCCAAGCUAAAAAGGGAUGAAAUCCAAAGAGAUGGUGAGGAGGGGUGCCCUACCUUCUCCUCCCUGUGAUCUGAGCUCAAGAGGUGCCCUAAGGGGCGUGGGUGCUAAAUAGAUAGGCUACAAACGCGAAAAACCCCCUGUAGUUCGGACUGCACGAAAACUGCCUCCUUGUACCGGUACACGGGCUCUUGUACCGGUACAAGGCCGACGAAAUUGCAAACCGGAGGCUCGGGUUGCUUGGUCUGCGGCUCUGUACCGGUACAAGCCUGAUGGCUGUACCGGUACAACCAUCAACCUUGUACCGGUACAAGGCCAGUCUUGUUCCGGUACAAGCUCUGCUGCAGGCUACCCGAGAGCUGACCAAGGUCCAAUCUUUUUGGGCUUUUGGCACCAGCUUAAAACCACAAUUCUCGGGAUGCGAGCCAUAGGUCGGAACACUGUCUACGACCUUCCAGAAAGUCUGAAAAAGCUCGACACACUGAUCAAACACUCGAACCUCGCAAUUUGCAAAGGUCCAGUGUGUUACAGGGCUUCCCUGCGAAGCUGCCGUUCCAUCUGCAUCUUCGAAUAAUGAGCAAAAGGGGCUCGUUCAGGAGAAGACUGUAGUUUAAAAGAGAAUAAUAAAUAAUUAAGAAAUGUUCUUUUCGUACAACUAAUUAAUUUGGCUCACCCCGAUAUCAAUUGUUUCGGGUGGAACAGAGGUAGCCAAAGAGGGUGUAGUAGCUUCUUUCGAUGGAAUGCCAGCCGAAGGAACAUCUUCGGCUCUGUCUUUAGAAACAUCAGCCGAAGGGGUAUUUUCGGCUCGUUGGAAUUUUCUUUUUGCAACUGAUUUACGCCGUUUCGAAAUCGGCGGAGAAAUAACUUGUACAGUCUCAGUCGGUCUCUUAUUUGAAGUUGGAACCGAUAAAGGAGUGGGCAUAGACUGACAAUGGAAAUAAAAUGAGUAUUACAAACAUCAAAGUAGAAAGAACAGAAGAGGAUCAGAUUAGAAAACAUUAUAGAAGAAGGAGGUGGAGUUUCAGCAGCCUCUUCUGCCUUUUCCGAUUUUUCGUCUGAUAUGGAUGGCUCGGCAGGGCCCUCCGAUUGAGUCUUACUUGGGAAAGGAGCUACAAAUUAAAAAAAAAAAAAGAGAGAAGAAAUGAGUAGCAGUAAUUAUAAGCAUGAAGUCAUUUUCAAAAGGAAUAUCGUACUAAGAGGAUGACGAGUCUUGCGAUGUGCACUCGAGAUAAUGGGAGCAAAGGUUUUCUUGAGGAAGAUAUCCCAAUUUACAGCAUAGCGAAAACCUAAUAUUCCGAUAUGAUUGGUCCUGAAGCUGACCAAUUUGAAAAAUCGCCGCAGAUGGUUUCCUAUAGCCGAAAUCUGAUCGGCGUCGGCUAUGCUUUUGGUAGGCGGGCGAUGAGUGGCAGUAUUAGACGUGAAAAAUUCGGCCGGAGCAGGAAUGGCCUGUGUAAAACCAAAUUGGCGCGCCACAAACUGUGGAGAGUAAACCUCGGUACUGGGUAAUAACUUCGAGCAUGAUUUCAAGCCGAUGUGCAAGUCCCGAGGAGCUAAAAAAGAAUACCAAACAUCAGAAUACUCGCCAGCACGAGAAGAGGCGAGUUCACCCUGAAGUGAUUCAUAUCUGGCCAAAAACCAAGGGGGGCCAGUGACUCGAUCAGCAAAAGGAGACCAAUAGAUAAGAAAGUGAGGGCUUGAAUCAUAAAAAAUAGAAAAAUAAGUGAGGAAGUCCAGAGGUUGCCCAGGUGUAAAUGGUGGAGGACAGCCGAGAGCAAGUCCAUAGGAGUCAAAGCGAGCAGCCGAGCUCAAAUCUAAGGGUUCUCGGCACAACCUACUGAAAUAAAUUUGUAAAAACAUCUGCAAAAACCAAAAAACGGCGCAACCCGAGCUAAUGGUGACAUCAUUGUCAUUGGGUGACGGCCUAAUAGAGUCAAAAAUUUCUCUGUAAACAAAAGUGAGAAAAUAGGGCCCCAAGGCCAAUUUAUCGUCGUUAGAUAAACCAACGGCGAUAGAAACAAAAUCUCGGUUAAUUUUCUGCGAACGAGUGCAGAAAAGAUUAUGACAUAACCAAUACAGAAGGAAUGCCGUAUGUUCCUUCUUAGUGACCGAAGCAGGAGAUUCACCUGCAAAUUUACGAAGAAAUUUGGAGUAAGCCAAAUCAUUGAGAUCAAGAUUGGCCUCAAAAUCGGAUACACCAUCAGGGUUAUAAGCCAUGGAAAGGGUGAUACCAUGAGGGCGUAGGCCAACAAUGGCGGCGACAUCAAAAAGAGUUGGGGUGAGAGGGCUGCCUCUAAAAAGAAAAAUGUUAGAAACAGGGGACCAGAAACAAAGGGCGGAAGCCAAAAGAAGGAAAUCGGCUGAAGGAGGUUUUCGGGAUAGCUGGAUGGCUUCAUAGGCUAGUUUCUCGCCAUAAAUCGCUGUGAGUAGCUUGUACACGAUCCAACCAAGCCAAAUAGGCUUCUGAGGUACUAGGCCAAGUUCGAAGACUUCUUCCUGUCGAAGCCGAAGGAUACCAUGAAUGAAGAUGAAUAUUUUCAACCAUCAAAGGAAGACCUUCAUUAGAAAACGGGAAAUCAUCGGCAGACGGGUCUGCGGUAAAUGAGGGACCCAAGAUAAACCUGGCAGGGUCUGAAUCAAGAUAUGGCCUAAGCAGAGUAUAGUCCAAUGAAGGACGAGUAGGCAAUGGCGGAAGAGGCGCCAUUCUUCGAAGCAAAAGAAAAUAAAGAAGAUGCCUGGAAAACGAAGAAGAAAUAAAAGAGACAAAAGGUAAAAGCUUGGGAAUAGAAGAGACAAAAACGUAAAAGCUUGGAGAAGAAGAAAGGCCGUAGAAUCGAACCGUCACAUCGAAGCGAGUUUCGAGGUCGGCUUUAAUGAUGAUUAAACGGCGGUAAUUAAGAUGACCUAAUUAAUGUCGCGUAUGAGACAAAAACAGAGAAUGUGAUCAAGGCCGUAAAAGAGAGAAUCAGCGGCCAAAAUUAAAUCGUACAAAAGAUUGUGCUACGGAUUGUUGCAGAUUAUGUCAGAGAAUUUGAAUUCGAUUGGACCGAGAAAUACGCCUCGGAUCAAGCCCGCUUUCGGCAACAGAAAAUUGUUUGAGACGAAAAAGUAACGCCAGCUACCGAAGCAUCACUUCGAAAACUGGCGAGGGGGCAAUUGUUGAGCCAGUUAGGCGCGAACAGCUGGCAUACCGGGUCCAUAUCCGUAAGACGGCUAAAACGGUAGACCUAGAGUACACCGGACACAUACAAGCCGCACUGGACCGAGGAGUUAUAACAACCGCAAGCAGUUACGAGCGGUUCCGAUCGGCCGAAGGUGGUCCUACAAAUCAGGAGAUACUGGCUGAUCGUGCAAGAGCAAUAACUGACGCAAAGGCGGUUCUAUAAAUAGGCAUACGAUACCCCAAAAAGGGGUCUUCGCCCCUGCGCACAAAAAAUCACCUUUAUUUUUCUGCAUCUUUCUAUUCUCGCAUUUACUGCUUUUCUUAGAAGUAGUUCCUGUAAUUUUCCAUACUCGGAGUCUGUCUGCCCUACGGGCAUCACUCCCCUGUUCCCAUACUUUGAGUCUGUCUGCCCUACGGGCAUCACUCCCCUGCUUGUGUACUUUUUUCUUUUGCUAUUCAAUAGAAAAUCAUCAUCGGCUCUUCCUGCCGAUCAGAUCACAAGUUAUUUGGCCAUUCGGCUCGUUUCUUAGUCGAAUUUUGGGCUUCCCCUCUCCAUUCAGCUCAUCCUGCCGAAGCGAAUUUACUACGGAGGUUUUCGAACCCGGCUGAUUCGAUCCCUUAUCGGCCUAAUCGCUUGAUCCUCUGUGGGCGCAUAUUUCGAGGGUCAUAAUCCGCAGCCGUCUCGCAUCCCGAUGAUCUUCUCGAGGAGAAUUAUUGACCGGGUCAAGGGUCGGGACGUUCGGCACCCAACAAUAUGUAAUUAUCUCUUAGAUAUUUAAAGUUGAGAAAUUUUAUUUGUACACUCUAAAACGGAAUGUAGACUGUACAACCCGUAUCCUAAGUUGACAAAAACCUAACAAAUCGUUUUUAGUAUAAAUGAAAAAUAGGAAUAUAUAAAAUAUUUAAGAAAAUUUGAGAGAUAUAUAAGUAAUUAUCUCUAAAAUAUUUAAAGUUAGAAAAAUUCUAUUUAUACACCCAAAAAUAAUUUUUAGUAAAAGUAAAAAAAAAUAUUGAUGUGAUAAGUGAAAAAUUAAUGGUUUUUAAAUGGAUUGCAUGCCAGAUGUACCAAUCAACGGCUGACGGAUCGGCCAGUUUUAAUCCGACGGUGUCCUGAGCACCGAUUUGGAACGCGUAGCACACGUGAGAAAACUCUCGUUUGUGGGAAGGGAAAGUGGCUGGCGGUAGGCGAAAGUUAUCAAAUCGAUCGAUUUGUUGAAGCGAUCGCACGCCAUUAACAACAAGUUUCAAAAUAAUAAUAAUAAUAAUAAUAAUAACAAUAAAAGUAUAAUAUAAAAUAAAAAAAAAUCACAGCCCAAACCCUAAGAGAGAGAAAGAGAGAAAGAAAGGACCCCUUCCUUUCCCCCUCUCUCCUCUCUCUCUCUAUCUCUCUCCCCAUCUCGCGAUCUCGAUCUCGAUCUCUCGAUCGAUCUCGUUCGCGAUCGGGGCGAUGCGGAAGGGAAGGCCAGCCGCCGCCGCCGAACGGCGGUCCGGACAGCGGGGCGGCGCGGGGCGGAGACGGAGGCCGGUUCCGCGGCGUGCGGCGCGGCCGUGGGGCCGCUUUGCGCGGAAAUCCGCACCCGGCGCGCAAGGCGCGCGUGUGGCUGCGCACCUCGACUCCGCGAGGAGCCCGCGCGCGCUACGACGCCGCCGCCCCGCGCCCUUCCGCGCCCCAAGGCCAAGACCACUUCCCACACUCCGCCUCCUCCCACCACCGACAACAACACAACGCGCCUCUCCCGCCUCCCCUCUCCGCCGCCGCCCUCCUUCUCCUUCCCCUUCCCCACCACCACCACAUUCGCCGCCGCUCCACCGGCCCGCCACCAGCAGCCUCAGCUCCACCGUCGAGUCUUCAGCGGCCCCGCGCCCGCCGCCGCCGCCGCGGCGGCGGCCCGGCACCCCCCCCGCCUCCGCCGCCGCCGCCGCCUUUGAUCAGGACGACCUCCGCAGCGACUGCGGAUCCUCCUCCUCCGUCGUCGACGACGACGGUGGCGAUGUCGCCUCCGCCUACCGGAUCCACCCUUCCCCCUCCCCUUGCCCCCCGCUCUCUUUCGAUCUCAACGCCGUCCCCCUCCCCGACGACGACGACGACUCCCCCAUCACCGCGCUCCGCCUCUGAUGCUGACGCAAGGGAAGGGAAGCAAUAAUGGUUCCUUUUCUUAUCACUCCCUCUCUCUCUCUCUCUCUCUCUCUCUCUCUCUCUACCCUUUAGUUUUGGGAUCUCUCCUAUAUGCUGUUGAUUCGGAAUAUAUGAAAGAAAGAUAAUUGUUGGAGUGCAUAUUGGGUUGGGCUUGUGUGAGAAUUAUAAGGGUUCGGACCGGAUCUUGUGGGAUCUGGUGGGGUUUCUCUGGUCUCAGUGUGUUGUACAAAAUGAAAAUCUAUCUAAUUUGAUGAGCGAGCAAAAUGAAGCUAAAAAUAACUAACGUUGGCUCCUAAAUGCUGGAUUUCUCUUGGUGAUUACCAAAUUUUGUUUAUUCAUGUUGCAUUUUUGGGAAGAAUCUUUGAUUCUUUAGGAAAUAGAUGUAUGCUGGUAUAUUCGCUUAAGGGGAGUUGACGGAAAGUAUUAGGGAGCUUCGUAAGAGCAGGUUCAUAUCCUCCAUCAAUUUGAUGUUCGAGGUUGUCGUUUAGGCUUUUUCCCUGGUAGUUUGUUUUUGAAGGUGAUGUAAAAGUUUAACCGAGAAUCUGAAUUGCCAGAAACAGGAAGUAUUUGGAUAUUGUAAGUUUGUUGUCAUAUUUGUUAGUUAACUUGCACACUUUAUGGCUUUCAGAUUUUUUGGAAGGCUUUUGAGCCGCGUGUGAUAUUUCUUUACAUCUAAAGGGAAUAAGGAUCUCUGAUGCAAGAAACUUUUAAUUUAUAAGGAAUGCUUAUCAAAAGAAGAAGAAUCACGUGUGGGUCAUAAUUUAGAAGUUUGUGAUAUUGGCUCAAUUUCCUUACACUGUACUUUUGGGUAAGGAAAAAAAUCUUCUAUAUUUUCUCUUCUUUACCAGGCCUCUAGGCUCUAGCUUGGAGAGUUGAUUGCGUUUCAUUCGUACUACUUAUUCGCGAAAAACUGGUGCAUGCAUGUGUAUAUGCAAUCGCAUAUGAAGUGGUCACUUGUUAUGAUCUACGUGCUACAUACGGAGCAAUUCAAGUAAGAACAUACUCUGAUGCAAUUUAGAUAGGCUUAAGUAGCUUUAGUGUAAUAUCUUAAUGAAUAGGUACUCAAAUACUUGGAAAUCUAACUUUAUAUAAUGAAUUUCAUUAACAUAUUUUGACUGUUCGGUAUUUUGUAUAUGGUACUUCCGUACUUGGAUCUUUAUAAUGUUGUAAAGCUCUGACAUUAAGAUUAAUUACGCCAUGAAAAGCUCUAUUCUUAUCUUUUCCUUUUCAAUUCUCCCAUGUGCUUAUUUUUAUUAACCAUGUUUCCUAUAUUUUACUCUAUCUAAAAUAUUUAUUGUAAUUCAUUUGAUGCGAAUGUGCACCCACUACCGCAUAGGCAUACCCACUACCCUGGCCGCCCACUAUCCGUUUCUGACUGUAUAAAUGUCGUAUAGUAAUAUUUAGAAUGGUCAUUCAUAGCAGAUAUAUAGUGGUAACAUUGGGAAUUUCAUUGAAUAAGCUCCAGAUUCCUGCUAUACUUGGUGUUGCCGGUUGUUUACCGACUGCAAGAGCACACACGCUUCAAUUAAUGAAUUUUCCCUCCCGUUGAUGCUCUCAAACUAAUAUUUUUACUAGCUUCUUUUAUUCAAAUAUGCUUAAUUUUGUAUAUGAUAUUUCCAUAUAGUCUGGUUUGUUAAUCUCUCGUCCGAUUCUUAUUUUCAAAUAAGCUUCCGUAUAUUGUAACUUUUUUGAGAUUAUAUGUAUUGGUGGCUCACACAAUUAAGGAAAAAUUGUCAUUUGUUUCCUCUCAGUUUGUCAUUAAUAUCAUCUUGAUAAGUUGAACUUUGUUGCAAACACCAAAAUUUAUAUCAUCUUGUGUUGCACCUUGCUACCUUGUUUUUAGGGAUUGUGUGGUGAUUUCACUUAUCCACUUCAUUUUACUUUCUUCACCACUGGAAGGGCUUCAGAACUAUAUGACUUGACGGCAUUUGCUUGCUGUAGUGAUGUAUUUUAAAAUUUCUAAACAAUGGCAAUUUUCUAUGUGUUCUCAUAUAUUGAAUUUCAUCAUUAACAGGUUCCUUAUUUCUGAUCUGUAUGAGUGAAAGUUUGUUGCAAUUACCCUUGACUCUUAUAAAAUAAUAUAAUAACUGGUUAUAAGAAGUUAAAAUUAUGCUUCUAACUUUAUGAUUCUCUAAGUUUUACCUUAUAUAUAGAGCUGAUAUUGUAAAACAAUCUGGUCGUAUCAACUUAAGCUUUGUGAGUUUUAAAAUUUGUAACUGUCCAAGUUCUUGUGUUUUGUACUGUAGUGAAUGGCUGCUUAAACUUCAAUAUUAUUUAAUAGUUUUCUCUAAUUUGUGCUUACUGUUCAUGGGGAAACUGCAGUUAGAUAGUCAACAGUCUGUUGUUGAUCCACUUGUAUCUUAAUUAUACCGUCUUAUUAUGAAUGAAACAAAGUUUUGCUCUGCUUCUUACUUCAUUAGAGGAAACAUCCUUUAUGUAAGGAUUUGGUGCCAACUCUGGCAUUUUCGAUUUAUAUCAAGGAAUAAGUUGUAGGGAAAACUUAAUUGAAUUUGUAAGUGUAUAUGGUUAUGAAAGUUAUUAAACUAAGUUGCUUUUUAAUGUAGCAUUUUUGUUGCAUCAUGGUUCUCUUAAUAUACUUGACAAGCUCUGUCAUCUUUGCUUAGUGUUUUGAUUCUUGUGAACAGUAAAAACUGUUCAAGUGGUCCUUAUACACUAUGGUUAUUGUAAUGCAAUCUAUUCGAUCCUACAAACACAUUGGUUUCUCAGCUUAUCCACUCUGCCGUAUUGUCUUCUCUGGAUCAUCAGCUUUUCAAAAUCUCGUCACUUAUAUUAGAGAUUUCUGAUGGCAAGAGUACCCAAGGUUUGCAUUGAUACAUAUAUAGGCAUGCUCAGGGAGUAACCUGCUAAAAUAAAGAAUUGGAGCAAAUUGCAACUCAUCAAAGGGAUAACCAAUGCAUUUUAGCCCAUAUUACUCGUUUGUUCAUCUUAGUGAUCCAUGUAUUUUUUUCGCUAAUCUGACAUAGUAGUGCUUGGCUAUUCUUUUAAAUCACUUCUACUCUUGCAUUAUGCUAUGCUUUUCUCCACAUGUUGUCGUCCUUGCCUUAUGCAAGGAAUCUCUGUAGUUAUACUGAAAUCCUUUUUAAAGAACAUACUAGAACUUCUAGAAACUAUGUUAAGGAUGGCUGACGGUUUGGAUUUAGGUGGGAUGGGAAUAAUACAUGGAGUAAUUGGGUUCUAAAUUGAGUCCCUAAAGCAGAUCAUGGGAUGGGAAUGCGGAAUGGCACCUCAACUCUUCAUGCUUUUUAGGCAUAAAUAAAACGAUUGGUUUAAAUUCAUUCUGCUAUCCUAAUAUCCAAUACAUAUUAACAUGCUGUUCCCUGAAUAGUUAUAAUUUAUAAUGUAUAUGCAUACAUCAUUCUGUUGCUUGUAGGGUAGUAAAAUUGUAGAAAAAUUUUGCUUCAAUAAGGGCACAGCUGGUGUUGGACUUGAUAUCCUGCAUGGGGUGGUUAUAGGGAGUGGCACCCCCAAUCAGACCUGCUCUGUUUCUAGUGUUGGACAAUGUUUUUCUUUUUUUUUCUUUUUUUUGUAUGUGUGUAUACUAAAAAACCUUGCCCUUUGGAGUUGAAAUGAUUCUUGUUUAUAUCAUAAAUUACUAUGAUAGGUAAAUAGUUAUGACAAUGUGAUAUGCUACAACUUGUAAGUGUUAAUUUCUUUGGUAUCUAGCUGCCUUAUUGUUUCAUUUAUCCAUUAUUGGCUGUUUGUAUUGUUUCAUGAAGUUGUGUCUCAUUUUUCACUCGUAUUAUUUAAAAUGAUUUUGAAGAUUUCUCAAAAUCAGGGAUACAUUUUUUCGUUUCGGAGUAAUCAUUUCCCCUAUGAUGCUUCUUAUGAUUAACAAUGUUUCCAUUCAUUUUUGAAUCUGUGAUAUGAACACCAGGACUUUAUUUACCAUCGAACAGUAUUAUUGUGCUUGUAAUGCAACAAAUAUCGAUUGUAAAUAGAUCUCAUCUAUUUUUUUUGAUUCGGUGCCAACUCUGGCAUUUUCGAUGCUCGUCUAUUUUUUUUGCCUAUCUAAAAUAGAUCUCAUCUUCGAGAGCUUGAUCAUCUUCUCAACAAAAUGUCCAUUCUUACCAGAAUUUCUGUUUUACGCAAAUAUGGUUUUCUGGUAAUUGGAUUUAUUUUUCAUCACGGGAAAAUUUUCCUUAUUGCAGAGUGGAUGAAAUUUCGGUUGCUUCAUUUGGCUUCUUUUCUGGAUCAAAGCUGUAUGGGAGUGCGUCUCCAUUUAUCAUGAGUCAAUUAGUGUCAUUAUGUUUCAUACUCCAUCUCAGGAGCCAUUAUUAGGUCUUACUCCUUUGCUGCAUUAGUCACUCCCUCAUUUAGUUUGGAAUUUUUGUUUUUUUUGGUUUCUAAUUUAGAAGAAAUAUUAAGAGUUUCUUCUUUAUUUCAUAAUAAUAUAGUCUCUUAAGUUUUAGUUGGACAUCACUACUGAGAUGGCUGAUAACGGUUUCAUAAAUGGUAGUGAAAAUUUGUCAUACUUUUUGUUUAUCAUGCCAACCAUGCUUAAUCGAGUAACCAUCUGGCCCUUGCAGCUUUUAAGUAUCUAUCAAGUAUCUAAGUAUCUAUAUCUUCUAUGCGUUUUCAUGGAGACUUAGAUUUUGUUGGUUUGCUACCAAUUAAAGAUCAUUUAUUCAUGGAUAUGCGAGCUUGGAAGUUGCUAUCUAUAGCCCUCGACUGUGAAUGAACAUAUGCUUGUUUGCUUAUUAUCUGCGAAUCCUCAAUUAUUUUCGUUCACACUUCAAAGAAACUUCUUGUGUUUUCCUUCCGACUUAGCUUGCAAUACGGAUGUUGAUGCAUCUGUGUGUUGGCGGAUUUGUAAAGAUAAUAAGUUUGUGUGGGUUGGAGUCGCUUUGUUUGUACCAAGAUGAAAACUAUUAUAACUGGUGUAUACUUAACCCUAAAGCUUGAAGUUGUGGUACUCCUAUGUUCGGAUAAUUUGUACUGUGCUUGCAUCUUGCUAGUAUAUAUCGCUCUUGAUUACUUGCAUAUUACUGGAAAAUGUGCUGGAAAUUCAUGAAACUAAGUUAACUGUAAUUGAUUUUAGGGAGUGGCAUGUUUCUGUGUAUUUUCGUUUCAACUCUUUUUUGCUCAUUUACUUAAUUUAGAGAGCCCUUUGGCACCAGUUACAAUCCACUAAUGUGAUAUAAUUCUUUGACAAUUUCAAUAACUUAUUUUUGUCCGUAAUAGCGUGAUUAUGGGCAAGUUGUCACGCAUUAAUACUCCUUCCAUUAUUUGGACUCCUUCCAUGUUGUGGACCAUGUGUUGCAAACAAAUGAUUAAAUAUCAAAACAGAUGAAAAAAAAAAAAAGUUAAUAAUGUAAACGUGUUCAAGCAUGCAAAAAUAACAAUUGACCUGAUCCAAAAUGAUUAUAUGUACGGGCAAUUUCAAACGUCCCCCCUCCCCCCCGCCCGAAAGUUAUAAAAUUUUCUGGAUACCCUCCUCACAAUUGUCAAUAUUAUUUUUAUUGUUAUAAAGUGGUGAAUUAUAAUAAAAAUGCCCUUCAUCACAUUGAUAAAAAAAAAUCUCAGGCUAAUUUACUCUUGCUAUAUCUAAUUAUAGAAAAUUUGUUAUGACAAGCUCCAAUAACACAUGUUCAUAACAGGUAUUUAUAUCUAUUGAUAUAAUGAAUCGGGAGUUUUGCUGUGGGCUACGUGGCCGCUUUUGAGCGGGCCCCUCUCUCUGUUGUUUCUUCUCGGGCGCGCGAGGGGCGCGAGCGGGCGUCAGGGGCGGGUCGUGGGCAUGUGGGAGAGAGAGAGAGGGGGAGAGAGAGAGAGGCGGGGGGGCCUGCCAUGUGCGNGCAUUAAUACUCCUUCCAUUAUUUGGACUCCUUCCAUGUUGUGGACCAUGUGUUACAAACAAAUGAUUAAAUAUCAAAACAGAUGAAAAAAAAAAAAAGUUAAUAAUGUAAACGUGUUCAAGCAUGCAAAAAUAACAAUUGACCUGAUCCAAAACGAUUAUAUGUACGGGCAAUUUCAAACGUCCCCCCUCCCCCCGCCCGAAAGUUAUAAAAUUUUCUGGAUACCCUCCUCACAAUUGUCAAUAUUAUUUUUAUUGUUAUAAAGUGGUGAAUUAUAAUAAAAAUGCCCUUCAUCACAUUGAUAAAAAAAAAUCUCAGGCUAAUUUACUCUUGCUAUAUCUAAUUAUAGAAAAUUUGUUAUGACAAGCUCCAAUAACACAUGUUCAUAACAGGUAUUUAUAUCUAUUGAUAUUGAUAUAAUGAAUCGGGAGUUUUGCUGUGGGCUACGUGGCCGCUUUUGAGCGGGCCCCUCUCUCUGUCGUUUCUUCUCGGGCGGGCGUGGGCGCGUCAGGGGCGCGAGCGGGCGUCGGGGGCAGGUCGCGGGCACGUGGGAGAGAGAGAGAGAGGGGGAGAGAGAGAGGCCGGGGGCCUGCCAUGUGCGGGCGACCCACGCCCCCCUGGCGCGAUCGCGCGCGCGCGAGAGAGAGGGGGGCCCUGGGGGUGGGGAGAGGCUCUUAAAAGAACAAAAACCCAUCUGCUCAGUUUUUAUAAGUGAGACGAAUCCCGUCUGAAGCACGAGUUGAACGGCCUACAGAAUCAGAAAAAAGUAAACCCGAAGGGGCAGCACAAGGUCUUCUCCUCAGAAGAAGCUGAAUAAAGGGCGAUGGCUUCCGUUAGGAAGUUGAGUUGAACCUCUUUCUUCGCCUUCUCUUCUCUCUCUGGUGUAGCAACCGACCCCGAAACAGCCGAAAAAGCCACUGGAGCAGGUUAUAGAACUGAUACUAGCAACUGUUUCAGGUCUAUUUCCGUACGUAGGAGUAACUGCUUCCGUAGGAGAAGGCACACCAGCCAGCCCAGGAAGCCAAGGUUGAAAGAUAAAGAUCACAGACAUGUGGUGAACCAUACCGAGAUAAAGCAAGGCACUUCCCAAGCUUGAAGUGGGAAUGGAGAGGCACGAGACAGCCCUCAAAAAAGGCGAAAUCCACGAGAAGGCCUCUUUGAGUAAAGAUAAUCGUGGCACCCUCAACAUGGUCUAAAAAAGCGGAGAGAGGAACCCUACCAGAGCAGAGAGCAUCGGAGCAACGGAAAGAGGCGCAGCUCCAGGGAAACACAGGUGACGGAGCUGCGAACCAAACGGGAAGGGCGAAGGAGACGGCGAGGAAGAAGGAUCGCAGGUUAGUCGAGUGAAGGACCCAGACAGGGUUUCAUAUAGUCGAGCUAAUCAGUCCAGAAGUCAGAGCAGAGCAAGAGGAUAAUGGAAGAUUUUUUUAAGGGGUCUCUGAGUUUGCCGAUGCGCUUCCAGGUAAGAAGGGGAUAAUUGGCCGAAAUGGUUGCCCUUCGUAAAGCCAAGCCCAUGGAAAUCCUCAAGAAGUCGAUGCCCUCUGCAGAACACUCUGUUCCCUUGAUGCCAGUCACUGGAACUGAUGCACUUAGACCCGUCCCAGAUAGUGUAUUGAUCCCGUCCGGCAGCCCCUUCAUUAACCCCUUUUCCGGAAACAGACCGAAAUGAAUGGUUUUCUGGUUCCCCCUCAAGAUGUCUUUUUCGACAGCGUGAACAAAAGAAGCUCGUGCCUGGUCGGGAAGUUCCUGGGAUCAAGACCGGACCUUAGAUUCAUCAGAGAUAAAGCCCGCUGCCCUUUUAUUUUUGGCAAGGUCCCAUACAUUAUGCCUACGUGGCACCUCGGAUAGUCAUGGAUCCUUGAACCAUUAACGGGAUCAUAUUUUUUGUCUUGGUCAAGAAUCCAAUUGGUGACCAAUGCUGAGUCAUCGAUUGCUUCCACCUGGCAAAGUCCCAGCUCCUUGGCUCGUUGGAUACCGAGUGACAGAGCCUGGAUCUCGGCUGUGUUAUUCGUAUGAACACCAAUUUGAACAGAACCCUCUGCCACCAUUUGAUUGCUUAAUCACAUAGCCGCACCCGCCCGGGGUUUCCUCGGCUCGCACCGUCGUAAUGUAACUGUGCACAGUUAUUUCUAUCUGGGUUCUGUCAUUCUGGGUUGUCGACUCACUCUAUGCUGCAGGUUGAAUUGUUCCAGAACCGCUUCCACGGAAUUUUAGGGAUUUGGGUCUGCUGUAUCAAUGCACCAGGACGGACUCCCUCUAUGGAUUGGUUUGUCUUAAAAUAUCGCAUAGUUCCGAGACCACCAGAUUUGAGCUGUGAUCAUUUUUGGUUUUUAUUGCAGUAACCAAUUGAGUUUUGGUGUCCUACUCGUUUGAACCCAAUCUCUUUCAAUCCAUGCUAUUAGAUCCGAAAUUCCAUGGACGCAAUUGGACAUUCAAAAACACAAAUGCGUGUGUGUUUCCUCUGCCCGCUUGCACAUUGGGCACCUGAAAGGUCCAUUCCCAUACGUGUCAAUCUGUCGCCGGUGAGCACUUUCCGAUUUCUCCACUGCCAGUCAAAAGUCAAGGUCGACGUAGGCCUCUUCCAUCUAUCUCUGUCGAUUUAGAGUGGGAUUGCUCUGAAGGUAUAAUAUUCUAGGUAGAAGCAAUUUCGGGGAAAAUCCAGCAGCAGUUUAACCAAUUUCUCGCCCAGUGGAGGUAGUAGCAAAGUCAGUGGUUUCCUCCUUUUGUGAAGUCUUUUUACUAUUUUUAUGCGGGUCCCACAUAAUGCACUCUCGGCACAUGGGCUUUGUUUGUCUUGAGCUCUUUACCUACUAUAAGGUGGUUAAUUCAAUCUAUAGUAAUAGGGACGAUUCAAUCAUUCAAGUGACGGAAUGGCAAGUAUUCCGCCUUUUCAUCGUGCAGUUGGUUCAAGUUCUGAUUCUGAUUUUGUUUCCUUUCCCACGUGGAAGGAACAAAUUCCCUUUUUUCUUUUUGUUUUUUGAAAGAGAGGAAAAGAACAAGAGGGAUACUUUUUUUUUUACUUUACCUUGGCCAAUUGACUUGCUUGCUACAGGGUUUUUCCCAUAAUCCAGAUGAAGAUUGUGCACACUUUACCUUUGAGCAGUCGAUGUACCACUUGACCCUGUACCAGAGUUCCGAUCUCUUCCAUUCCAUUUUGUCUGUCUUGGUUUCGAUCGGUGAACUUUCAUUCGAGAUCAAAAAAAUAGAGGAGGCCUAUGUGAGUUGUAGUAGAAAGAAGCCUGGCAAGCAAGGGAAAUUGUUCGAACUACGGAACCUAAUCGAUAGCCUAUCCCGUGAAUGAAGACUGAGGCUGGAUUAGCAGCCUAUCCAAACUACUGAUUCCAUUCCCCGGCCNUAAAUAAUAUUGAAUAAUUUAUUCAAAAUAUUUUAUAAAUUGCGUAAAUUUUUCGCCGCGAAGCGCGGGCUUCACUAGUACUUAUGAAUUGGGAAUUGGGAACCCGUACAAGGGCUGCCCGGAUUUGGGGGGUCCUGUGGGUCUCACUUUUAUUAUUAUUAUUAUUUUUGUUUCUCUCUCUCACUCUCUCUCACACACUUUACACUUUUUUUAAAAAAUUUCUCGCUUUAUUUAUAUUUAUUUAUUUAUAAUUUAUAAUAUUAAUUAAUAUAAAUUUACUAAUUUAGAACCCAAAAAAGACCUUUCCUUAUUUUGUGGAUUGUGGGGUCCACAUUAAUUUUCUAAACAAUUAAUUGCACAUUGGGUCUCAAUCUUUUCACUCUUUUUUUAUUUUGGUCCAUAAUUUCUAAACUUUGCGUGUUUUUCGCUUUAGUUCCCAAACAAUUUUUUAAGAAUUAAUCUAUAUAAUAAUAUAACUACUGAUUUCUUCGCUAAUUUAAAAUUUAGGAAUCAAAUAUUUUAUUAGUUGUAUAUGUAGCGAUAAAAGUUAAUGAGAGCACAAUGGAGACGUUGCCUCCAAAAAUAUCAAAGAUGUACUUUCACUCCACGUAAUUAUUAUUAUUUUUAUUUUUUAUAAAUUCUACCUUAAUGAUAAUAGAAAAAUAUUAUUUAUCUUUCUUAAUAUUGUAAUGAGCUUUUAUUUUAUUUUAAACUGAUUUAUUUAUUUUACUUAUUAGGUUAAAAUAUUUUUAGAAAAAAAUAUACUUUAAUUUCAUUCUUUAAUUUAUUUUUUAGUUUUUAAUUAUUCAAUAUGGAGAUAAAUAAUAUUUAAAAAUAAUAAUGCAUAAUGGAAAAAAAUAAUGUUAAUAAUUCUAUUAAUUUACUGUUAUAUUGGCUUUCCGUCGCAUCGCGCGGGUGUUUAUUAAUUGCGAAGGAUUUUUUUUCAGAUUCGUUCUUUUAGUCACUGGUGUUCUCUGGAUUCCCAGCUCUAUGAAGCACCUCGCCGAUUUUGAAGUUUAUCAACAAAAGUCUAACGAACAUUUUGAAAGUAGACUUUUAAAACAUGAUUUUAUUUUAUUUUCUUUUAUUUUUUGCCAUGAGACUCUGUAACUUCUAAAUUUUUUAUUUAAAACUUUAUACUCAGUUAACUUAAAAAAUUUAUUAAACUUAAAUUACUCUAUUAGUGAUUGUAUUCUAAUAGACCAAAUUAUAUUUACUAAAAAUAUAUUUACUCAAUUUGAUCAGAUUGUUAAUGAAUCCGAUACAAACUUUAAAUUUUUAUUUUCAUUUUAGAUUCAAAGAUUAAAUUUAAAUUAAAAAUUAAAUUUUAAGUUAACAUUUGAAUUUUUAAACUUUAAAUUUUAAGAUUUAAAUUUUAGAUAUGAAAAUUUAAAUUUACAAAAAUUGAUUUUAGGUUACAAAUUUUAAAUUUAAAUUUCAAAUUUUAAAUCAAAAAUUUAUAAUUUAAGAUAAGAUUUAAAAUUUUAAAUUAAGAAUUUAAAAUUUAAAUCUAAAAUUUUAAAAAGUUUAAAUUUAUAAUUAUAAGUCUGAAUUUACAAUUAGAAAUUAUAAAUUUUAAAAUUUUAAAAUUUUAAAUGUUAAAUUAUUUAUUUUAAAUUUUAAAAUUUUAAAAUCCUAAAUUUUAAAUUAUAAUUUAAUAUUUAUUUAAAAUUUGUGGUGCCAUAUUAUAUUUAAUAUAUAUUAUAUUUUUCUAUAUUUUAAACAAAUAUAUAAAUUGUUCCUGCUGUGAAGUGCGUACAUCGCUAGCAAUACGCAGCCAAUAAUUUCUCCUCUAAAAUAUUUGGGGAUUUGGGGAUACGUCAAAUGAGAAAUUAAAAAGGUGGGGACCACUCUAUACUACUCAUUUCCAUUCCGAUUCCAUGAUGAAAAAGAAGCGAACCAAACACGCCCUAUGAUGCUACACGCCCGUAAGCUUUGAGCCGUGUAGCCGAUUUUGAAUUAGCUGGGAUUUUGUUACAAUUGUUGCAACUUCUAUAUAUCUCGACCACAGUUGAUUUAUUUGCUAACCCUAGCAGUGCAGCGGCUCCUUCUACUCCCUCUCAUCCCUCUCUCUUUGUCUAGAGUAUUUCUUUGAAUCCCAGCUAAUUUCUAUAGCAAAGUUGACAUCUAAUAAACUUUCACUCUAGCUUGUUCCGAUUUAUCUUCUAUCCCACCACAACGAGACUAGUUAGUGCGGAAAGUGCUUUUGCAAAACCCUAGCAGCCAGUGUUGAAAAUCCCAGCAGCAGUCUCGUCUCCCUUGCUCUCUUGUGAGUUCGUCUGAGUUGUCUUCGGGAGCAUUUUGAAGUUUGCUUCUUUAAAUUAAUUGGUAAACACUAUAAUUUUUAUGUGGUGCUUUGGAAUUUUUUUUUUCUUUUUUUAAUAAUUUCAUUUUUGUGGGUCUCGUUUUAUUUAGUUUGAUACUUGUUUGAACAACUCGUGGUAUGUAUUUCUUUUUUUUUCUUCUUUUUGGGUUGGGAAUACUUUACUUAAAAGUUCUUAUUGUUUCUCUAAACAUUGUUUUGUAGGCACCAUGCAGAGUGAUAGCCGCUCGUCCGAAGAAAAGAUGAGGGAUUUCAGCCCAUGGAGGCACGAAAUUAGUUUAGGUGUGUUUUUUGAACUAUUUUUAAACUUCAUUUUCUUAUUUAGAUUGAAUUAAAUUUAUUAUUAUUUAUUUAUUUUUAUUUGUGUACAGGGCCUUCCUCUUUUAUGAUUAUGGAAAAUACUUUUAAAAAUACAUUCCGGAUAUAUGACUCUAAUGCGGAUUUAGAUAUAUAUUCGAAAAGAGCUGCUCUGAAAUUAUCAGAAACGGUAGCUAGUCUUGUAUCGUUUGUAGGUAAAUUUUCUUUCAUCCAUGUCCGAGCAUUCGAAAGAAGGCUGGUACCAUUUCACCUUUUAACACCUUUUUUUAAAAAUUAUUUAAUAUUUUUUGAAAAAUUUCUUUUGUAGGUGAAGAAAUACUUUUCUGUGCUUUUGGGACAACGAUUGAAUGCAACCGCACUGAUGAUGGCAUUUUCGAAGCAUUUUUAUUAACUACAGCUAGUUUAUUAAGACGGUCCAAUUUUGAGUUUUCACCAACAGAUAAUAUAAAGGUUGAUAAUAUGCGAUUUUAGUUUUAUCUUUAUCUUUCUAUUUUUUUCUUUAUUAGAUGUGCAUGUGUAGUAUUAUGUAUACGUAUGUAAAUAUUUAUUUGUACUUAUAUGUUAGGAAAAAAAGGUCUUUAUUUAUUUUUUCUUUUUCAGAUCCUUGUACAUUUUUGGGAUGGAAAAUCCUAUGAAGGAGACGUUAUUGGAUGCGACUUUUACUACAAUAUUGCCACAGUUCGCAUUCGUUCGGAAGUUCCUCUACAAACUGCAAUACUAAGAGAUGUGGAUGAUUCCAUGCCGAUUAGCCCCGAAGUUGCUCGUGAUUUAAGAGAAACCACCAAACCCACUCUUGGCCGACAUUCCAACAAAUUUAUUCUUGUUCCUGGGGACAAGGUUGUAGCAGUUGGCCGCUAUCAUACGGAGGGGUAUGAUCUUAUGGUCGCUCCCGGCAUAUUUAGGUAAGACUUAACACUACAUUUAAUUACAAGUUGAAAAUUUGUUUAUUUUAUUUUAAAAUUCAGGAUGGAAUAAUUAUAUUUAUGCAUUUAAAAAAUACCUUUAGAGCUAAGCUUAUUGUAAUGUUCAAAUUGUGCUAAUCUAUGAAGUACGGAUACUUCAAAUUUCAUGCCGUAUUCGUAUCGGAUACGUAUCGGAUACCGAUAUGCGUCCGAUACGUGUCCGAUACAGAAAUGAAGUAUCCAGCAUUUUUAAAAAAUAAAAAAAUAUCGGAUAUGACUCGAAUACAUGAGGGAUACGGAGGGAACACGGUCAUAUUCUUUCUUGGUCUAAAAUGAUCGAAACUUAAAAUUUUUUUAAAAGCUCAUAUCCAAACAUAUUCAAAAGAAGAAAAAUAGUGAGAAAAACGUCAAUCUCUGUUCAAUUUGUCAUUUCAUCUAUCUUUUUGCUCUUGAAUGGUAGAAGACACUUCCUCUCGUUCUAUCUUCACACAGUAUUUACUCUCUUUCAUCUAAUUUGUCAUUCUAGCAUUAAGCAACAAAGGCUAUAAAAAAUAUGAUUUUUUUUUCUUCUCUAUUAAAUCGUUAGCAUUUUUUUUUUUUGUUACUAUUUUAAUAAUAGAACUAACAAAACAGACAUAUAUAUUGAAUGGCUAAUUAUCUAGUUUGUGCGACUACAUAUCUAUUGUUAUCAUUUGAUCAAGUUAGAUGAUAGUUGGUUUGAUACUUUUUGAAUUAUUAUUUUAUAUGAUUNNNNNNNNNNNNNNNNNNNNNNNNNNNNNNNNNNNNNNNNNNNNNNNNNNNNNNNNNNNNNNNNNNNNNNNNNNNNNNNNNNNNNNNNNNNNNNNNNNNNUCCACGGAGUAGAGUUGCUCAUUGGUGUGUACGAUCUCACCGUCAUUCCUUGUAAUAUCAGAACAUAAUAGCACGCCAUUAUCUCGAUUCGAUUCCUUUUGGUGAUACUCACAAAACCGUGUAUCCUGUUAACUGAGAACCAAGUGGCUUUUGAACUGACAGGAUUUAAAUUUCGGAAAAACAACGGAGUCUGAAAGAAAAUCACAAAAACAAAUAAUUUAUAUGUAUUUAUUCCGUGCGACCUCUCAAUUUAGUCGUUCGGAUGAAAGUGGAUUUUGUCGUGAAUCCGGGUCAUCGAGUACGCUAAACGAAAUCGUAAGCUUUGUUAGUCGUCAUCGUGCUGAAUGCAUGGUGUGAUCCGUUCGCAAAUUCUUGGACGAGCGGAUCUGCGGAGAUAGCGCGUUGAUCAGUGAGAGGUCGAUCAUAGGCAAAACGUAUUUUUCGGGCAAAAAGUCGCCGACAUUUUAGUACCGUUUUCUCGUUUGAGAUCGCACGGAAGGGGCGUUCCUUAGCGUUUUAGUCGUAACCGUGAUGGACUGCCGUAAUUGAUUUCAGAUGUUUGAAGGGUUUUCUUGGCAAAGUUGCACGUAGUAUGAUAGUUGUUAUCUAGUAGGUUUGAGUCACCUAAACCUAACCCUAAGCUUUGCCAUAACCUCCCUAAGCCGCCUCACCACCCCACUUUCCCCGCCCUGCUCUCUCCCGCCGCCGGCUGCCCAGUUCCACUGGCUGAGCAGCCGCCGCGGGCCGCCGGAGCUGGCGUGCUCCAUCCUUAGCCACUUCUAUCUCCUCCUCUCUUUCUCUCAUCAUAUCUCCUCUUAGGUUGGGAGGAGGGCCCUUGAGACUGGCCGCACCAUAUUCGACCUCCUCCGGUGUCACCCCGUGCUCCGGGAUACAAUCCUCCCGCCUGGCCGCCACGUCGCCAAUUGCAGCGUCGCUCUCUAUGCCGAGCCCGGCCGAGCGGCCGGUUUUCCACUGCCGCCUAGCGCGCACGCCACCUGGACCGUGAAUCCCUCCCUCCGACCUCCUCUCGUCCCGGCAACCCCUUCCGACCGGUCGCCGCCGGCGCCGUCGCCGCCCAUGCCAUCUGCCCGGCUCGGCCAGCCGCGCCCGCAGCUAGCCCGAGCCAGGCCCGAGGCAUUUGGUUGCGGUCUUUCCCGCGCCCGGCGCCGAGCACCUCCUUCCUCCUCGUCUGUGCCUCUGUGACUGCGUCGUCAUCCCUGACCCUACCCCGGCGCCGCCGCCGUGGCCAGCAGCUUCCCUGAAUGCCGUGUCCUAACUCGUGGCGGGCCGAGCUGCUGCCCCGACGCCGCCCGGCCGCUUCUUCUCGUCGCCAAUCGAGUGAGCACGAGUCCUCACCUUCCUCGCACCCGACUCAUGGCCCCACUGCGCGCCGCGCCGGGCCCUCAGCCGGAGACCGCGCGCGAGCAAGGUUCUCCGGCCAUCCCGAAAUAAGGCUUAUUUGAGUGGUUUCUUGUUCUGGGCUUCGCGCGAUUCCCCGAUCUCUAACGGAAGGGAGCACGAUGAUCUCUGGCAAGUGCUGAUCACUCGUAGCCGACGUUGGCCUUUUGUCGGGAAAGGUCCCGUUUCCGCGCUUUUUGACGACGUCGCAGCCUUUCUCAGCCUUUUUGCUGCUGUUUUCGGGUUUGUGCUCUGUUUUCCGGCAUCUCGAGGCUGUUACGAUGCCUUCGUAGGUGAGCAGGGUGACGCCGCUGUCAGGUGCUGAUCACGAAGUUCCACCAUCCCUUGGAUCAGAAAAGUGUCCGGUUAGUCCCUGUUCGGCGCGAUCUUCCUUGACUUGCGCGCUGUGCGCUGACCUUCGGGUUUGCUUCCCGGCGUGGCUGCCCACCAGCGAGCCGAUUGGCUCCGGACUCGUCGAGCACAGACUCCCGGUACUAUUUCGAGACCACUGAGUCAGUCACGUGCUCUUAGAACUUUGGAAAGUCCUCGUUUGGCGUGAAACGAUGCGCUUGAUCGCGUCAAAUUACUAAAUGAUAGAAGUUAUGUAAAUUGGAAGGGCACUUUAAUCGCAAUUGUGCAUCGUUAGUGGCCUACUGUGGGAUAGUGGCCCGUGAGUGUGUUUGACCUCUGGACUGAUUGUCCACGAUCCGUAGCGCCAGCGGAAAUGCGAUACGGUUGAUUUGCGGUGCGUUUUUCGGCGAAUUCGCCGAAAGAAGCGAUUUCGGUUCGAUUCUUUCCGCACCGCGCGUGUUUGGUUGGCUCGUAUAUUUGUCGCUGAGCUUUGUUGUGCUGUCACUCGCUAUCAAUUUUUUGAGGGUUCGAAAUGCGGGUGAGCGAGCGUUAGGUCCGUGCUCGAAUUAGACACUUCGCGGAACCCGUAAUCGAAACGAUUAUCCGACGAUAAUUGUUUCGUACACGAGGAGGUUGUGUUUGCUGCAUGAUGUCACGAUUAAAUUUAUGUUUAGUUGGCAGUCAGGUGACUCGUACCGAGUCGUUAUGGCUUCCGGGACAGUUCGUGGGUCCCGCGGAGUCCCCGUCGCGAUUACGGGACUUCCGCGUAUUACGGCGAUCGUUUGGGAAUUGGUCGGUCCCCAUGGGUUUGCUUGUAGGUUGUGGAUUUAGUGGUUAUUAGCUGUGGGUUAGACACUAACCCGAUGGACCUUCCUUAGGUCCGGUUGACGUUCUUUUGCAGUUAGGAGACAGGCGCAGCAUUUGUACAGGUGGGUACUUCGAUCCGACGUCGGUACAGUGGUGCACGCUUGGUGAUGGUUUCUUACCCUUACUCUUCUGUUGUUACUAUCGCAUAAUAUAUUGAGCCUUGCACCCUUGUUUAUUCGUUAUACUCUACUCGUUGUUUGCAUACUUAAUAUCCUGAGUAGGAGUAGAGUAGUUCUAUCUUCAUGCGUAUCUGUUGACCUAGUUGGUCGGUUGUUGCAUUCAGUACCUAUUGACAUAGUUGGUCUGUUGUUGCGUUUAGUAUCUGUUGACCUAGUUGGUCGGUUAUUGCAUUCCGUAUCUGUUGACCUGGUUGGUUGGUUCUCGUACUUCGUUUCGGUGACCUGAUUGGUCAGUUCUCGCUUUCCGUUAAAUGACCCUUGAGGUCGAUAUACCCUAAAGGGUGGGAUUGUCGGCUAACGCCGACGGAUGAUUAUAGUCUACUCAGUUCCAUUGUUUGGUAUGUUUGUGACCUAGUCGGUCAGCUUCGUGAGUUCCGUCGUUGAUGACCUUUGAGGUCGGUGUAUCCUGAGGGGUAGGAUUGUCAGCUGGUGCUGACGGUAGUUCUGGACUAUAUCGAUACACUCUUGUGACCUAUCGAUCGGUUCUUGCGUUCGUACAUUUAGUUGACAUCAAGCAGUAUUUACAUACUAUCUUUAUUUACUCUGCCUGGUUGUUCCAUGUGUAGUAUCCUGUGUAGGGGUAGAGUAGGUGACAUUCGUAUAUACUAUACUAGUGACCUGGUUGGUCGGUUCUCCUGUUUGCAUCUGUGACCUGUUUGGUCGUUCGUUACUUCCCGUACAUUGACCUAUCUCGGUCGGUUCACGUUGUUACUUGAUGACCUAUCUGGUCGGUAUGCCCAGAGGGGCAGUGAUUGUCGGCUGGUCGCCGACGGUUGGCUAUUGAGCAUAUCAGCAUCGAUCGCCACCACUCGUUAGCAUUUCACGAACACUGGCGGUCUGAUCCACCGCAGGGAGUGUUCUUUUCCGGAAAAGUGGUCGUACGUCCGACCCGUGAGCCCAAAGGCUAGAUUGGGUUAUAUGCAGGUUGAGUGGAUAUGGCACGAGCCUGAGGUCUCCGGACCAACAUGGCAGGUUUAGAUUGGGUAUUUUGAUAUAUGCGACCGGUUGAUGCAUACUUACAGUCUUGCUUUACAGUUGUCUUGCUACUACAGUUUCCGCAUAUUGUUAUGUUUUCGGUUCUUCGUUAUAGUAGCAGUUGUUUACAGGUAUACCUAUAGUUCUUUCUUACACUUGUCUUGCUACUAUAGUCUGAUAUCUCUGUAUGUACGCUUGUUGUUCUGUUUACAGUAGCGGUAGUUGUUCUUUCAUCUAUAUUUCUUUCGUUAUGAUCGUUACUACUGUAUUUCACUUACCCUUAUACUAUUGUUUAUCUUCCCGAUCCGGUGAGUAUUCCUCGCCUUCUUCGGCUUGCGGUACCCACUAGGAGGGGAGACAUGUUUACAUGUUCUCACCUCCCCCACUAUUUUUCAGGUAUCGCGGGCGGUGAGGGUUGAGACGUGACGUGAGACACGUACGUAGCGGUCGAUAGAUCUUCUGACCCAGGUUAUUCGGUGUAGUUCCUACCUUUACUAUUCUGUUGAUAUAGCUCAGAUAGUUUAUAUGGUUCAGUAUUGUCAUUACUUUUGAAUAUGUGGAUUUUCAUGAAUGUAAUAAAAGGAUUUCUGGAUUUGGUAAAAUAAAAAGGUUUUCUACCCCUCGUGGUAGUAUUAUUUAAAAGAUAAAAGUUUCCGCGUAGGGAACAAUUUUUUUAAAAGGUUUUACGUGGAUUUUUGUUUAAACAUUGAAUGUAAAACAGUGAUAUGAAUGGUGAAUGUAUGAAUGUAUAGCUGUCUUUAUAUUCAUCUAGUUGUUGUGGUUGUAUCCUGUUUGUACCUUGUACUUGUGCGACGCCGUGCAAAUACAGGGGAGACUCUGUCCGUGUAAACAGUGGAUUCCCUGUAUUUGUGGCGGAUCUGGCAUACUCUGGGGUCAGGUUUUCAAAAA